ACGCAGAGACGAGUCUAAGAGUUCGUGUAACUCGAGGUUCAAAAGUGGAUUUUAAAAUACAAGACAAAUCUGAUUUCCAUCUUUGAAAUGAAAUGUAAAACGAUCAAAUGAUAUUGAAGGAAAAUGGAGGGUUUGAAACCCUUAGUUUCCUUUAAGUUAGAAAAUUCCAGAUUUAACAAGCAAUAUUUGAAAAAAUCAUAUUUCACUCUCCACAAGUCCAAAAUUGGAAAACUUGGUACUGUUGGAAUCCUCUUUCAAAGUACUAAAAGUUCUUAGAAGACACUUUUCCACGAAUGUAAGUGAAAGGCACUAAAAUUUUGGCUCAAAGUUGGUAACUUGAAUUACCAAGACAGAUUUAAGUUGGUUUUUGGCCAACUUUAGAAAUUCGGCAAAAUUCACUUGUUUUGAACUAACCUUUGAAAUUUGGAAAUCAAUUAGUGUUGCAAUCCAAGAGUAUAACAAAACAAGCGGAACGAGAAACGGAGUUUCGAGCACCAAGAUAUAGUACCUCCAAGUUGCUGAAAAAGUUAAAACUGUUGGGCUAUUUUCCAGGUUUAAAACUAGAUUCGAAAUAUCAUUUGGUCAUCAAGUUGGCAUUAGAAAUACAUCAAACUUGGUACACUAAAUCUUCCAUGUGUGAACAACAUUUCUACUAAGUUUCGUACAAAAACUCUCACGGUAAGGUAGUCAUUAAAACAACCAAAGUUUAUGAAGAGUUUCAAGGCUAAACUACCUUCUCACUUUUCUUUCGUUUACAAACUUUUUGUACCAUGAAAUCAGUUCCAAAUCUCUCCAUUAUUGAAACCAAGAGUUCAUAAACAUCCACUGAGCAAUUUAAAGACCAUUGACAUCCAAAUUUUAGAAAUAAAACUCUCCAAAUCAGAUUUGACCAUUUGGCUAAGAGAAAACGAAAAGUUUUCCAGAUUCGAUGAGCGAAUUUUGUGACAUCAUUUGCAUAUCAAAAUGGUCUUAGAAUAUUACCAAAUUUUGUACAAUUAAACCUCCAUAUGAGGAUUAAUCUUCUAUCAAAUUUCAUUUGAAAAUUCACACGGGAAGGUAGUUAACUAAACCAUCAAAGUUCAGGAAAUUUCCCAAGGUAAAACUGUCUUCUAGCUCUUCUUUCCUUUUUAAACAUUUUGUCCAAAGCAACCAACCCAAAUCUGGUUUAUUUGUGAAACAAAGUCCAAGGAACAUCUAAUUUAAAGUUUGGUAGAUGUCGGACAUCAAAGUUUCCAAAACAACAAGUCCCAAAUCAUUGUUAGUUACAAAUCUGCCCAAGUGGAAAAUUCUAUCACUGUAGCAGUUUCAAACUUUGGCCACAACUCACUCCAUUCAACUUGGAAUUGGGCGUGGUUGAUGGCGUUGGAAAUCUCUCUUCUAAAGCUGAAUUUUCUCAGAAGAAACCAUUUUCAAAUUCCAUUCACAAAUAGCUCGUUUUUGAGCAUCAAGAAGCAAUUUCUGUCCUGUCUCCUGGAGAGCAACGAAACAGGACAGUGAUAUUCAAUCGAAUAGUGUGGCUCACUCAAGUGGAACCAGAAUGUGAAAUUGGUACCGAUGGAAAGCUAGGAAUGUCUAGUUUCCAAUGCCACAAACGGCACUUGAUUUUGACAUCGGAACAAAGAGUUAUGGCCGUUACAAAAUGACUGCCUGGGCAAUACGGGAUUCAUUUUCCAGUUUUGCUAACUUUGGAAAUCAACUCAUUUGACCAACCAAAUCAUGUUAUUUUUCAAUGAAAUUUUGUACACACUUACAAUAAUAGAUAAAAAACAUAAUCAAUUCAUUAGAAUCUCAAAAUCUGGCACGAAAACGGUCGGACAAGGCAGGGGUAAAACGGUCACUUUUGCUCCAAGCACCUCCUUUGAUUUUCUACCAACAAUACAACAUUAAUCUACUAAUAUAAGCACUAAACCACCAUUAAUCUCAUCAUCCAACAUCAAAUCAGCAACAACCCAAGAGUGGGAGUUCAUAGAGCCCACUUUCACAUUUUAUACCAUAAACAAGACUACCCACAUGAUUAUAUAACCUUAUAUGUGCAAUAAAUCUUACAAAAACUAAGAUCUAUGGGUUGGAUGAUUUGCUACCUUCUUGGAUGAUUAGAUCAGAAAUUUUGGUCACUCUUUGCUCCAGAAAACCGUGGCUUUUCAGCUCCCUUUUGCAGCUCAAAAUACUCCUCAAGUGUUAAGCUAAGUGUAGUUCGAAUUUGGAGUGAAUUGGAAGAGGUUUGGUGAAGAUUUGAUGGAGGAAUUGGAAGAACUCUUGAGCUGUUUUUCUUGCUUUGUUGUUCGGCCAGAUGAGGAAGCAAGAGAGAGAAAUUGUGGUCUGAAAUGAGGCUUCCAAAGGAAGCUUAAUGACUAAGGAUUGGGUGCACAAAAGUCAACCGCAAAAAGUGCGCGCACGCGCGCGUUUUGUGCUCGAUUCCUCUCGCGUUUGUUUCACUAGUGUACUAAACUUCUAAUGCAUUUAUAUUCAUAUAAAUAUUAUUCACUCUUAAUUGUCUCAAAAUAAGGGUCUAAAGUUCCUCAAUUUAAAUUGCGCGUGUUAAAACGCGUAUCUCCAAUUUAAGCGCAAUAACGCGAAACUUCCGAGAAAUUCUUAUAACGAUAGUACUAAUAACUAUCACUUGAGUAUUUAAACAUUAAAAUGCCUAAUUUAGGUCCAUUGUACAUGUCUCCAAUAUUUCAAACCUAUUGUACUCUCAAUCGAUCAAGAUUUCCAAAGACGUGUUCACUAUUUUUACAAAACGAGCUUCCGAAAAUUAAUUUUUGAAACAAGUCAUUUUAAAAAUAUAAUGAAACUAUAUUUCCAUGUAAUUAGGUCUCAAGAGCUUAGAAAAUAAUAUUCGGAGUAAAGGACCAAAUAAAUAAUUAAAUAAGCUAGAAAUAGGAGAUUAAAUAAGUAAAUUUUGCGAGUCCUCACAAUAUGACUUUGUUGAUUUUUGUUUGAGUGCGUAUGGUCUGAGUCGUGAAGUUUCUUAGUUUGACUUCUUGUACUUGAGUACUUGAUACUUUUCUUGAGGAAAUGCCCGUGAAUUUUGGACGGAACAUGGUUUAAUAUAUGAUGAUGUGAAUAGAAAUUAUAAUUGAGUUUGAGAUAAGUUGUAAUGGCACAGGUUCGAGCGCAGAAGAUUUUGUAUUGCACUCAAACUUAACCAAAUGAGAAGAUUGAAAUAAUGACUUGGACUUGUCCAAUAAGUGUUUGGCUUGGGUUUUGAUAGAUUGUGGUGGUGGCCGGAAUUGUUGAGAAAAUUUUUGAUUUUGCACCCUUCUUCUAGUCUUCUUGUUUGAUUAAGGUUGGCACCACCCGAUUUGUAAGUGUUGGGAUUUGAACAACUUGAACUGCCUGAGACUGACUAGGCUGAGUUCACUUGAGACUUGAACUUGUUUAGGUGAGUGUGACGUACACUUAGUGGACUUGAUUUGACUGAAUGUAUGGUAUUUCAUUUACGCGUGAGCAAGUAGUUUGGUUCGUAUACGACCUGUGAGUGGACUUGGAUUUUGUGAGUUCUUAUUCGUACCUGUGCUCCUUGAACUUGAAGUAAUUGGCUCUGCUUUUGAACUUAUUUGUUUGAACCCUGCCUUGACCCUACUUUUGAACUUAUUCGUAUUCGUGUGGUUGUUAACCGGCUACUACUCCUCUGUAGCGGUUGAACUGAAUCUCUCUGGUAAGACAUUGCCUAUUGUGUUUUCAAGCAUCGCCAGGGAUGAACUUCUUGAACUAAGACUCACUGGUGAAGUAUAGCCGUUGUGCUAGCUUGUUGUAUUGUCCAGCACCAGCAGGGAUGAUAUUUUGAACUAAAAUCUUUGGCGAAAUAUAGCUGUUGUGCUAGCUUGUUUUAUUGUCCAGCACUGCCAGGGGUAAAACUUCCGACUUGAGUCUAAGCCAUGUUCUGAAUUUUUCGAAUAGCUAAGACUUUAUUUCCAACUCAGAGCUAGUUGGUUGAACCGAGCCCUUUUCCAUGUUCUAUUUGGUUACUUGUUUAGCUACCUGGUGGCUCGUUGCUAGGUGAUAAAUAGGAUUGGAGAUUCUUAGUACUUGACUGCUUUCAAGGAUUGUUUGAUCUAAUUAGUGCAAGUUGGAAUUUCGAUGACGAAAUUCUUUGAAGGAGGGGAGAUUGUGAUACCCUAACUUUUAGGAUACUAAUGUUGUUUAGUCUCCAAGAGGAUAUUACGAUUUCUUUAUUUAAGACAUUGUUUUGUUUAAAAAUGAGAAACCCUAAAUUCUGAUAAAAAAACCCUAGUUUACUUGUGACUAACCGAUUUUCUUAAAUCUCUCAUUUUUAAUCGAAACCCUAAUUGUAAUCAAUGGAAUUGUAAAAUCCCGCACUUUUUUCUUAAAAUUCCUUUUAUUUGGAAAUUAUUACUUUAUAAUGGCCCUACUACCCAAUCACCCCACAAUAAGCGCAAAUGAACAUAGAAUUAAGUGUUUUCCCUUUUCGUUUUCAAGUUAUCGCAAACUAGAGUUUUCACGUCCUUUCAUAGUGUUAUUAUUCGGUACGGAGAGUGUACUAAAUUUGAUGAUUAAGAGUGAGUUUGAGACAAGAAAAAGCAUGUGACUAGAUGUAAGAAUAAUAAGUUAGUGAAUUAUAAGUUAAAACCCUAGUACGUGCGAAAUAAGGAAAAACGGGUUGGACCGACGGGUACCAUUCGCUGCCGAUUGAGUGCACCACUUGAACACCACAUUAUUACCUUAAUCUUCUCACUUUUAUUUCAGCAAAAUUGGCCCUAAAUAUCUCCUCCAUAGGGCCGAAAUUAUUGACCAAGAAAAGGGAGGAAAAAGAAAAAAAUUAAGAUUGAAUCUUGUGGUGACACUUGUUGGCAAUCCAUGGACCUUUGACCAAAUGAGUUUCUUUUCUUCUUAUCUUUCUUCUUGCCUCCAUUCCCUUCCAUUUUUCUUCCAUCUUGGCCAAAAAUAAGAGAGGGAAAAGAGAGAAAAACAACUUCACCUCCAACCUUGAUUCUUCUUUGUUGAGUUGAAAUUAACCGAACCAAACCGAUUAAACUUACCUUUUGCUGCUUGGAAGGCUUGGUGUACUGAAAUUUUUGGAAGAAAGUGGUGUAUUUCUCACCUCCAAGGAGCUUUUGGAAGAUACCAUGGCUGCCUAUCCCUUUACUCUUCCUUAAUCUUGUUUAAGUGUGAAUAGAAACUCAUAUUCUUGGUUGAUGACGAUUAAUCGGUUAGUUUUGAUUGAUUUGUUGGGUAUGGAGCUAGGGUUUACAUUUUUAGCUUUGAUUAUAGUUAUCUACCUCUUAAUUGAUGUUAUUGAGUUAGUAAUUGCUGUGUUUGAUGAUAGAGCACUUGUUAGAUAUGGAUUUCUACGGUAACGGUGCAAAAGCCAGAAAUUGGAAACCAAUCUGCCCUGUUCUAUCCGGUUCUGGUUCACCAUGAGGAAGGCCGAAUUAGGCUUAGUAGAAAACAUGAACAUUGUAGGGAAUGAAGUUUUAUAGCUACCUAUAAACUUUUAGCUCAAUCUGAGCACUGUAGCAUAUGAAAAGACAAAAAUACCCCUGACUGUCAUAGGUAGAACUCGAGGGACAGUUUUGACAUUUCACCAAUCAGACUGCAUCUGUUCACCCUAAUGUGUACUGACUUAGCCUUUGGCCAAAUCAUAAAAGUUCUAGUGCUAUGUCUUAGCUUUCUAAUGGCCCACAAAAUGCCUUAAUCGGACUUCGGUAGCCUGAGUUAUUGUCAUUUACGAAAAGUGCGGCUAACUAACCGGAAUGUGAGAUUUUGGUUCUAUAACUUGAAAUUUUGACCUGAAUACAUUACGAACUGGAUAGAGUGAUCUUUAUCAAAGUUGUAGGUAUUUGUCUUAGCUUCGAAACAGUAUCUAGUACACCUUAAACCGAUAACCACAGCUUCUGUUAUAAUUAAAAUCGUAAAAGGUGUCAAAACUGUGAAAUGUCCGUUUGCGCCUUUAGGUGCGGACGCGCGACCGUUUUCAUUUCCGCGCACGCGUACCUGUAUUUCUCAACUGUUUUUGUUGUUUUGGACCAUUUAGGACUAUUUUUGUUAUUUUAUUACCAUUUCGGCCAAUUUCGACAAUCUUGUGGCCUUAGUGUCGUUUUGACCAUUUUUUAUCAUUUUUGACCAGUUUCGAUUGUUUAAGUUAUAAACUGCUAUUGUAUGGCCGUUUCACUUAUGUGUGUAUAUAAUCUACCAAUACAGACUGUGAGGCUUUUGACGGUGAUGAUCAAGCUCAGUGAAUUUGUAUCAUUUUUCGUGCCAAGCAUUAUCAAGUGAGUAAUUAGGUUGUUAUCGAUGUAAAAUUGUUAAAGUGCUUUGUAUAUGUUAAAUGGGUACUUAGGCGAGGGUGUACUUUAUCUCACUCGACCUAAACCCAUCCUUUGUUUGAUUUCAUAUGUAAGAAUACAUGCCUUAUGUUGAGAAUCACCCUUUUGCUGAGUGCUGAUGGUGGUGAUUACAUGACUUGAAUUGAACCCCAUUUGCUGUGUGCUGUUUGGGGUAAGUACUUUGUUGUGUGCUUUGUUGAGAGAUAUCAUCUAUUGAGAGAUUGAAUAUCUCAGGGCUUGGUUCCAACCCGGUUCGAAGGGUAGACGAACUACUCGAGCUAGCCGAGGCUUGGUCGAAGUUAGUUCCAUGCUAACCUUGGGAUUUCAUUCUUUGUUAAAGUUGUGAUUAAAGCUAAGUGAUUUUGUUUUGCUCGAGCUGCUGUGUACUGUUGACUAGCCAGCGGGGGUUGAUAAGGUAAACGGGAAAAGUUAAGUGGAGUCUACGGACCAUGAGUACUUUGGUUGACAGAGUGUCAACAGGUGUUCAAGCUCGGGGAAUUGAAGUAGUUUUGGAGCCACCCGUAUCCCACCAUUGUGAUGUUACAUUUUUGUAUUUAUGUGAAAUAUUUGGAUUUAUAUGUUUAUUUUAAUGUGCUUUUACCUUUUUACCCCAAUUAUUCACUAAGCAUAUAGCUUACCUCGUUCCAUUUGUUUUCCUUAGCAGGGGGCCGACGCGGGGAUCGCUCGGGAAAAUGUAUAGACUUUUGGUUAUAGAAUAGUUUACUUUAUACCUAUUACAAGUUGACUAGUAAGAUGUAUAUAGUUGUCAUGGUGGCUGUAGUUAUCAGCUUUUCUAGAGUUUACUUUCUGGUACUCGUGAUAUGUAAUUCUUGGAGAAAGGGUUUACUUUUUGGUACUCGUGAUAUGUAAUUCUUGGAGAAUUGGAUGUAAUAUUUGACAUUUAUCUUGUAAUUCAUUUGAUUACUGUAGUGAGUGAGUGAGUCCCUGCGAGAGUUGGGCAGGCGACCCGUCAAACCCUGGAGGACGCCCUAGGGGGUGGUAGGGCCAUCACAGGUGGUAUCAGAGCUUAGGCUUCAGAUCCUUGUAGUGUAUCCUAGGCUUAAAGUUUAGGAUGUUGGACUGUGGGAUUGGUUUGUAAGUUAAGUGCUCUUUUGGAGCGUAAGUUGUGAAUCUUGAAAGUGGUACGCGUAAGAUAUGACUUUGUUGAUUUUUGUUUGAGAGCGUAUGGUUUGAGUCAUCAAGUUGUUUAGUUUGGCUUCUUGUACUUGAGUACUCGAUACUUUUCCUGAGGAAAUGCUCGUGAAUUUUGGACGGAACAUGGUUUAAUGUAUGAUGAUGUGAAUAGAAAUUAUAAUUGAGUUUGAGAUAAGUUGUAAUGGCACAGGUUAGAGCGCAGAAGAUUUUGUAUUGCACUCGAGACUUAACCGAAUGAGGAGAUUGAAAUAUGACUUGGACUUGUCCAAUAAGUGUUUGGCUUGGGUUUUGACAGAUUAUGGUGGUGGCCGGAAUUGUUGAGAAAACUUUUGAUUUUGCACCCUUCUUCUAGUCUUCUUGUUUGAUUAAGGUUGGCACUACCCGAUUUGUUAGUGUUGGGAUUUGAACUACUUGAACUGCCUGAGACUGACUAGGCUGAGUUCACUUGAGACUUGAACUUGUUUAGGUGAGUGUGCUCUUACAUACACUUAGUGGACCUAAUUUGAUUGAAUGUGUGGUUAUUCAUUUACGCAUGAGCAAGUAGUUUGGUUCGUAUACGACCUGUAAGUGGACUUGGAUUUUGUGAGUUGUUAUUCGUAUACGACCUGUAAGUGGAUUUUGUCUUAACUUCAAAAUGGUAUCUGGUACACUUUAAAUUGAUGACCACAGCUUCUGUUAUAAUUAAAAUCGUAAAAGGUGUCAAAACUGUAAAAUGCUCGCUUGCGCCUUUAGGUGCGGAUGCUUGACCAUUUUCAUUUUCGCGCACGCGCACGUGCAUUUCUCAAUUGUUUUUGCUGUUUUGGACCGUUUUAGACUAUUUUUGUUAUUUUAUUACCAUUCCGGCCGUUUCGGCCAAUUUCGACAAUCUUGUGGCUUUAGUGUCGUUUUGACCGUUUUUUAUCAUUUUUGACCGGUUUCGAUUAUUUAAGUUAUAAACUGCUAUUGUAUGGCCGUUUCACUUAUGUGUGUAUAUAAUCCGUCAAUACAGACUGUGGGGCUUUUGACGGUGACGGUCAAACUCAGUGAAUUGUAUCGUUUUUCAUGCCAAGCAUUAUCAAGUGAGUAAUUUGGUUGUUAUUGAUGUGAAAUUGUUAAAGUGCUUUGUAUAUGUUAAAUGGGUACUUAGGCGAGGGUGUACUUUAUCUCACUCGACCUAAACCCAUCCUUUGUUUGAUUUCAUAUGUAAGAAUACAUGCCUUAUGUUACGUAUCACCCCUUUGCUGAGUGCUGAUGGGGGUGAUUACAUGACUUGAAUUGAACCCCAUUUGCUGUGUAUUGUUUGGCGUAAGUAUUUUGUUGACAGAUAUCAUCUAUUGAGAGAUUGAAUGUCUCAAGGCUUGGUUCUAGCCCUGUUCCAAGGGUAGACAAAUUAUUCGAGCCAGCUGGGGCUUGGUCGAAGUUAGUUGCAUGCUAACCUUGGGAUUUCAUUCUUUGUUAAAGCUUUGAUUAAAACUAAGUGAUUUUGUUUUGCUCAAGCUAAUGUGUGCUAUUGACUGGCCAGCGGGGGUUGAUAAGGUGAACGGGAAAAGUUAAGUGGAGUCUACGGACCAUGAGUACUUUGGUUGACAGAGUGUCAAUAGGUUUUGGAGAAUUGAAUUGGUUUUGGAGCCACCCGUAUCCUACCAUUGUGAUGUUACAUUUCUGUAUUUAUGUGAAAUAUUUGGAAUUAUAUGUUUAUCUGAAUGUGCUUUUACAUUUUUACCCCAAUUAUUCACUAAACAUAUAGCUUACCUCGUUACAUUUGUUUUCCUUACCAGGGGGCCGACUUGGGGAUCGUUUGGGAUGGUGUAUAGACUUUUGGUUAUAGAAUAGUUGAGUUUGUACCUAUUACAAGUUGUAGUUAUCUGUUUUUCUAGGGUUUACUUUCUGGUACUCGUGAUAUGUAAUUUUUUGAGAAAGAGUUUACUUUCUGGUACUCGUGAUAUGUAAUUCUUGGAGAAUUGGAUGUAAUAUUUGAGAUUUAUCUUGUAAUUCAUUUGAGGACUGUAGUGAGUGAGUGAGUCCCGACAAGAGUUGGGCAGGCGACCCGCCGAACCCUAGGGGACGCUCUAGGGGAAGGUGUGGCUGUCACAGGGUCUGGUGGGGUGCUUAGAAGAGUUAAGGCUUAAAAGCGAAUUUUUUUCAAAAGUGGUUUAAAUGAUCUGAAAUCUCAUUGUUGCGCGAACCCUGUUUUUUAGGGUUAAAUCAAAACCUGCUCCAAUUUAUUCUCAACUGAGGUUUUUUUUCUUUUUUUUCUUUUUCGGCCUCCUGCUAUUCCUUUGAAAUUUUAAAAAAUUUGCGCCAGUUUAUACUUAACCUUGGUUCUCUUUUCUUCUUUUCCCUUUCUUUUGAUUUUGUUGUUUUAUCACUUUUCACCUCUUGACACUUGUCUUUUUUUUUCAACUUAAACUUGCCCCAAUGUGGGGUUUGCGAUUCCACUUGUCUUUUUUUUCAACUUAAACUUGCCCCAAUGUGGGGUUUACGAUUCUCAGGGGUUGCCAAACGAAAUAAUUUAUUCUGAAAGUUCAAAAGGGAUAACUAGGGAUAGAAUGUUUGAUUGGAAAAGAAGAGGGUCAGACUUUUAUUCCGUUCCUUACAUUAACUCUGAAAGGAAAUUUCCAUUAAUGCGAAAUUUGUGAGAACCCGUAAUUUUCUCAUUUUUUUUCUAGGGUUUUUCUCGUUAAUGGCAUGUUUUCUGCAUUUUCUUUAUUAGGAAAAUUUUCCUGAUAAUUUUUAUGAGUAAAUAUAGUUUUUAGAUGAUUUUCCUAGUAUCGGUUAGGUUUUGAGAAAUUAAGAGCCUAUACAAGACGUGGGACCCGCUAGUGCGGAAAGUUCGGAAAAAUUCGGCCAACUAGGUUAAGUUUUGGAUACUGGGUUUAAAUUAUCGGGUGUUAUGAGAUAAUUAGAGGUUGUUAUAUGGAUUGGUGUGAGAGGAAACAAAGAGAUAUGUAUGCAUUAAAUAGGGUGACAAGUGUCACCAUAUGGUUGGUUGUACUUUAUGACCACUAUUCAUUUUCUUACCAAUUGACCAAAUAAAUCAAAAAAUUACCAAAAAUUCACCAUUUUUCUCCUCAUCUUGGCCGCCCGCUUCAAGCAAAGAGAAAGGGAAAAGCUCUUCAAAUUCUUGCCUCCAUCUUGCUCAAAUUCAACUAAUCAACCAUUUGAUCUUGCAUUUGUUCCAUAAAACCUCUUCACUUAGUGUUCGUGAGGUGUUUGGUGAAGUUGUUUGGAAAGCUAAGGUGACUAGUUGCUCUCUCUCUUGUGUUGCUAAGGUGAGUUGUGAAGGAACCUCUCUCCUCCACCUAAUGAUGUUUAAUCCAUGAUUUGUGGUAGUCUAGGAUGUAAUUUUGUGGAUUAUAUCUUGAUUUUUGGUUGAAUUGGUGAAGUUUUAUAAUUAUUGGUGAUUUUUCUGUUUUCGUAUGAUUCUUAUUAUGUGGUCAUGUAUGAUGAUUGGGAAUGAUAAUGAAGGAAACUAGAAGGUGGAAAAAAUGGUUAAUUGCAGAAAAUUUCUGUUUUGGAAGAAAAAUUGAAAGUUAGGGUUUCAUUAUUUACAUUCGGCCCGGCACAGUACCUCAUAGUUAGAGGCCGAAUUGGCCUUGGAUUAAAACAUGAAAGUUGUAGGGAAUGAUAUUUUAGAGAUGCCUACAAAAUUUCAGGCUAAUCAGAGUAGCGUAGCCUAUGAAAAGACAGAAAUACCCCUGCUGCCCUGGUUUCACCCGAACUUGAGAAUUGCUUCUGUAAUUGGUUAUUUUGGCUGGGAAUACUUCUGAUUUGGUUGUUGAGGUCUUCUGAGGAAAUGUAACCUGAUGUCUUAGCUUUUGGAUGGCUUUGGAAUCACUUGAUUUGGACUUAGGUAGCCUGAAUUAUAGUUGGUUAACCAGAAUGUGGUUUGUCCACCUGUUUUUGCGGUUCUGGUUUAGUAUCUUGCAUUUUUUGACCAAGUUGUGCUAUGAAAUGGACUGAGUGACCUUCUGAAAUAUUGUACCCCUAUCUCUUAGCUUCGAAAUGGUGUAUCUUACACCUCCAUCCGAUAAUCGUAGUGCCAUUGGUGCCAAAACCGCAAAAUGAUGCCAAAAACUAUUUUUUUGGAUUGAAGUUUAAUUCCAUUUCCGGAUUUUCCUGGUUUACUCUAAUGCUUAUAUAUUCUUAUGGAAUCUUAUUUUGAGAGUAUUUAGAAUUGGUUAUGACUUGUAAUCGAGUCUUAUUGUGCUUAUUUGACCAUGUUAGGACGUGACGGUGGUGCAAGACACUCUUAGGCGGAAGUGCAUGAAAUAUUAUUUGCUUGAUUGGUGAAUGUACUACUCACUUGUUUGUUUGCCAUGUGGCUUUGCUAUAUGUGAACGUGAUGCCUUGAAGGCUUAAUUGUCCAUUGAAAUUGAUUGAAGUGAGGGUGUACUUGAUCGCCCUCACCUCCUUUGAUAUUAUUUAUGACUGUCUACUGUUUCACUGUGAUACUGGAAAUGUUCAUGGAAAAACUGGUGUUGGUGUCGUUCGGACGAGUAUCCAACGACCUUUACUGUACUACUGAGCUCAACUCCAUUGGUAGUCGAUUGAAUCAAGCCAGCGAGGGCGUGGUCGUGAAGGUCGACGAGCCAUGGGGACUGUUAUAUGGAAUCUUGUAGUAGUGAGACUCUUGAUUCCGGUAUACUCGAGUAUUACCAAAUUGCUACUAUUUGGAGUUCGGGCCCGGUAGGGGUAUGUUGGGUGGAAGGAAUGGAAGUAAAGUGGAGCCUACGGUUGGUUACUUUAUAAACAUUGACGGAGGGUCAAUGAAGUCCGAUCAAGUAUACGAACGAGGAAAGGGGCUCUUGAGAGCCGUCCGUAUUCUUUUACCAUCUUGUUAAUGUGUGAUCUUGGUUUAUUUGUUUCUUGACCGCUUUAUGCCUAUGUGACUUGGUUGCUUAUGUGAUAGUAUACCACUGGGCGUAAGCUCACUCUGUUCCUUUUGUUUUCCUUACAGGAAAAUAAAUACUUUUGGACUGGAUUUGAUAGUUGGUUGCCGAAUUGAGCUAGAUGUACAUAGCUUUUGUAAAAGCUCAUUGAUUGAAACCCUAAAUGUACUUUUGGGUUUGAUUUCUCUUUUGAUUUGGCAAACCGUAUAUGUAUAAACUUAUGGGAUAAUUUUGUAUGCCAUUUUGGUUUGUAAAUGUUGAAUUUCAAGAUGUGUAUGUUUGCGUGAUGUUUGGCCGGAUUUUGACGUGGCCGGUACUAUUCAUGACCAGCUCCAAUUUUCGUUUUUUUUAUUUUGUGAUUUUGAUUGUUUACGUGCGUUAGUAUGUUCUGGAACGUAUUAGAUCGAUGUGAACUGAACCGUUAGUCCUGGCGAGAACUGGGCAGGUAGUCCGCUAACCCCUUUGGUUCGCCUUAGGAGAAGGUGGGGCUGUCACAGGUGGUAUCAGAGCCUAGGUUUGAAUUGGUCUGGGUGUAUUAGAAAUGCUUUAUUUGAGGCUUCUUUUGAUUACGUCCUUUAAGGUUAUUUAUGCUUAUUUACAUUUUUGGUAUAGGAUGGACGGUCAUGGUGAGCCUAGUAGUCCCCCUGUUGGAGAGCUACCCCGUGGGGUACUUCCGGUGAUUCCGUAACAGAUCCGGCCCAGAGGGGCAGUUGUGCGUUGGAGCCCAGCUAACCGCCUCCGACAUUGCGAGUGACGACGCAUGUAUGCCUAUCCUAACGCAUUAGUAUUGGCCGUGGCGGAGGAGCGUAAGGAAUUAGCUCAAGAUAACGCUAGGUUGGAGGCCGAGGUGACCCAGCUUAGGGCGGCCAAUGAGAAACAAGCCGAGCGCAUUAAGGGGCUGGAGUAUGAUGUGCUUGAGGUUGAGGAUCGGGUGGAUGACCUGUGCACCCAGCUGAGGGAAGUCCGUGAGCGUGAGACUAAGCGAGCUCGAAAGGUUAAGGUUCGAGCCGCAUCGAUCCUGAACCUCUGCGCGGACGUGGUCGAGGGCGUGAGUGACGAGGACUCGUGUGCGGAACCUUAGCUAAUCGUUUUGUAUGUUGGAUUAGCUACGUGUAUAUUUCUUUUGAUGAGGCCAUUCCCUUGUGGAUUGUCCAUGCUUGUACUUGACCUGACUGACUGUGAAUAUGUGACUGUUUGAUGUGAUAUAUAUGUGAAAAGUGUUUGAGUGCUUACUUAUCAUGCUCUUUAUUGUUAGCUAUUUUUGCCUAGCUUGAUCUAGACCAAUGGAAGGGACACGUAGUGGACGGGGACGUGGGUGCGGUAAUAGGCAACCUACGUCAGACCGAGGUGCUGGGGAAACCUCCUCUGGACCUAAUCCUGAACAGCAAGUGAACCCCAAUGUACAAAUAGCUGCCGCUAUGCAGCAAAUGACCAACUUGCUAGCACAAGUGGUACAGCAACAGGGCCACAACCCAAACCCUAAUCCUGGGAACCCGGGUAACCACAUCCAGAGCGAAGAUAGAGCUCUUGAACGAUUUCAAAAGUUUGCUCCACCCAAGUUUAUUGGGGGGCCCGACCCGGAUGUCGUUGAAAGGUGGCUCGAGAAGAUGGUGGAUAUCUUUGCGGCCUUGCACUAUACCGACGAACGGCAGGUGACCUUUGCCAUUUUCCAGCUAGAAGGGGCAGCCCGUUCCUGGUGGAACGUCGUUCGGCAAAAAUGGGAGCGGGAACAAAUGCCUAGAACAUGGGUGAACUUUAUAAGAGAAUUCAAUGCCAAAUUUUUCCCUCCUCUGGUCCAGGAGAGAAAAGAAGAUGAGUUCAUCCGACUUCGUCAAGGGGCGCAGUCGGUAGCAGAGUACGAAAGCCAGUUCACCCGCUUAUCGAAAUUUGCCCCUGAGUUGAUUAUGACGGAGCAAUAGCGGGUCAGGCGUUUUAUCCAAGGUUUGAAUGUCGAGAUCCAAAAGGACCUCGCAGUGGCUCAGAUUAACGCGUUUAGCGAGGCCGUUGAGAAGGCACAGCGGGUAGAAAGCGCUAGACUUCAAGUGAGGAACUUCCAGGCCACGAAGCGAAGUUUUCCUGGAAGCAGUUCGGGACAGGGGGAGAAGGGUAUUCCUCCCAAGUACGGACGGGGGUCUGGCGGUGAACGAGUGGGAGUAGGCAGAGGGACUCGGCAAGGGUGGCCAAGCUGGGCGAGGACAAAGAGGUAAUUUUCAGGGUGGCUCAGCUUCAGCACCUUGUGGUCCCUGUGGGCAUUGUGGGAAACCAAACCACACGGAGGAAGGAAGGGAAGUGUUUACGCUGCGGGAGCGCAGACCACCAAUCUUCCACUUGUCCGGUCUUAAAACAAGAUGGAAAGGGGAGUCAACAACCGCCGAGAACCAAUUCUGGACCUGCCAAAGGAGAGGGGACAAAACCUAAAGUCGCGGCUCGCGUGUAUUCGUUAGAGCCCCAACAGGUCCUAGACUCUUCCGAGGUCGUAGAAGGUACGAUCCCUGUAUUCCACCGCUUUGCCAAAGUUUUAGUAGAUCCUGGUGCCACUCAUUCCUUUGUUAAUCCUGCUUUCAUAUGUGGCAUCGAUAUAAAACCUGCUAGUUUACCAUACGACCUAGAAGUUAGUACACCUACGGGGAAUCAACGUUUGGUUACUAGUAUGGUUUAUAGGGAUUGUGAAGUUUGGGUAGGAGAGAAAAGGUUGUUAGGGGAUUUAAUUAGUCUGGCCAUCAAAGGGUAUGAUGUAAUUUUUGGUAUGGACUGGCUAGCCAAAUAUAAUGCCCAACUGGACUGUAAAACGAAAGUGUGUCGCGCCCCACUUUUUGAUGUGGUGAAAGUAGUGUGUAGGAUAUGUAUGUGAACGUGUGUGAAAGUGAAAAUAAAAAGGCCGUGGGAUUGUGAAAUGCGACGGUUUGGCCAAACAAAGGGUUUUAGAUAGAAAAGGAGUCGCCACUUGGCAUAGAGUUAGGGUGUACCAAGUCACCCAAAAAGUGAUUUUGUUUUUGGAAAGAAAAGUAAACAAACCCUUUUUAAAGAAUUUUUUAGGUCUACGUAACCAAAAAAAGGGAUCGGGAGUCACAUUUGACAAGAGAGAAGGCAAAGGCCAAGCCUAAGGCACUCCCUUACCCUAGCCAAAGCUAGCUGCGUGACUUAGCCCUUUUUUUCCUAAUUCUUCUACCCAAAGUAUGUGUUGCAUGUUGGAUAUGACUAAUGGAUGCGAAAAAAGGAAAAAUGCAAUCCUAAAUCUAAAAUGUUCCUUAUGAGGCUUUUUGGUCCCAAUCACAUGAGUUGUGAUGGCCAAUAAGGAAAACUCUCAUAGAGGUCACGGGUAAUGCAAAUGAAGACCCAAAUAUGAGUGCAAGUGUGAAAAUGUAAGAAGAAUGCAAAAUAAAAUAAAAAUACAAAUACAAAUGUAAGUGCAAGUGUGCAAGUGUAAGAUAAGUGCAUGUGUGCAAAUGUAAGAAAAGUGCAUGUGUGCCCAUUGAGAAAAUAAAGGUGUUUGUGUGCAAGUGGAUGAAAAUAUGGUAUAAUGGUAGUAAGUGCAUAUAAGUGCAAUUUGGGUGCAAUUUGUGAGGUAGAAAAUAAAAAAAAGAAAAAGAAUGUGCAAACAUGGCAUGUGGAUUGCGAAAAAUGUAAGUAGUGAGAAAAUGUGGAUAAAAAAGUGAGGAGGUGAUAUGAUAGAAAUGAAAGUGUAUGAACCUAGAGGAAUGCAUCAAGUCGGGUACGGGAAUGACUCCUAACUUCACGACUUUAAAUUUUUCCCUUUGAUUAGAAGGAAGGACUAGCGUGCUAAGGCUAUUUUGUAGCCACACUCGCUCGUUUCCCUUACCGAAAGGAGACUCUCAAGCAAAUGUACCCUAUAACUAGCAUGAAGAUGCAAAAACCUAAAAUGAAAGGGAAAGGGUUGGAGGGGCAUGCCAAAUGCUAGAAAACUAAGAAAAAUGGAUGAAAUAUAGUGAGACAUGCAAGUAUGUACUAACGAGAGGGGACAACCUAUUGGGUCUAGCAUUGGACUAGCCCUUUUCUAAAAUUCUCUUACAAGCAUUGGACUUGCGAGAGCUCGAGGGGAAAGACCAUGGCCAGCGUUGGACUAGCCACGGUGACGCAUUUAUCCAUCACAUUCAUCUAUGACUAUAGAAAGCAAGUAGACAUGCCAAUCACCUAUAAACACGUAGCACAUAACACUUAGCAUGCUCGACUAAAUGCAAGAACCUAAGAAAGCGAGUAACACGUAGCACUUAAGCAUGCAAAUCACACAGGGCAAAUAAAGCAAACAAAACCCUAUCUAUUACAUUAGGGGAGCCCUACUACAAUCUAAAAGGGGGAAAUAAAUAAAUAAUAAUUAAAAUAAAUACCUAAUUAUUACAAACUUGGCAUUCAAGUGCCUUCCAAAUAACCAAAAUUGAAUUAAAAUAAAUAUGCCAAUUUAAAAAAAAUAAAGCGAAUAAAUAAAUAAAUCAAUCAAUAAAUAAAUCAAUAAUUAACAGAAACAUUUAAGAGGCAUGCAAUUAAGCACGUAACAUCACAUAGGGCACAUAGAGUCAAAUAAGGUCAAAAUAAGGGAUAGAGUGUACCUCCUUUGAAGUUGGGGUCCUAAUGAAGUGAAGUCACUUAUUUACCCUCCAAAAAUGCAAAGAAAAGGUCAAGGCAUCACUUUAAUUAACAAAUAAUCACAAAAGAUAAAAAUAAACAUGAAAUUGAAUCAAUUAAAUCAUAUAGACAACCCACAUUUAAGAAGUCAAAAGAAGAAAAGACUUGAUUGCAAAAAUUAACGAAGCUUUGGGGUCAAAACUAAAGACAAAUAAAGUUUAGGGACCUAUCUGCAAUUAAAUUAGGGACUCAAUUGAAAGCGUUGAAAGUUAGUAGGGCCAUACUAUAGUUAAGGAAAAAUCCAGGGACUGAUUUGAAAUUUCGUUUCCAGAUUCUUAGUGGCUCAAGCCUUUGGGCAGUUUUCUUAUUUGUUUGGGCCUAAGACUUUCCUAGCCCAACGGACAUUCAGAGCAAAAGGAAUGGAUCAAUCUAUUACUUAUGUCCACAAGCUUAGCCAACAAAACCGGUGGGCUUCUACCCUCUAGCCCAAACCAAAAAAAACCCAAAAAUAAACUAACCCAUUCUUACAAACCCAAUCAAAAUAACCUCUCAACCCAAAACCCAUUUCACUAAAAUCCAACAUGGAAAAAUCAACUAAAAUUAUGAAACCUCAAUUAUAACCUAAAAUCAAUAAUUAAUCUACCCCAAAAGGCUACUUAAAAGUGAAAAGAUGAUUAAAAUUUGAAGGGUGAAAUUGGUUUCAUUACAAACGUUUUUGGGCCAUAUCAGAACAAAGGAAACUUGAGGGGUUCCAAUGCAAUAAAAACAGGGACUCAAUCGAAAGAAUUAUGAAAGGUUUGGGGCGAAUUAUGGAGUUCUAAAAAUUCUGGAGGUAAAUUGCAAAAAAAAAAUGAAAAUGGAGGGACUGAAAUCAGAAAUUUAGUCAAGCAAAUAUUCUUCUCCGAACUGGCUAAUGUCCGCUGCUAUUUCAUUCCUCUUUGCAACCAGAAAAUUCAACUUCGGACUCCAAUCAACAAGACAAAACAAAAGAAAAACAAAUGACUCUCACAUGAAUCUCCUCUGAAUCCCUCUCAUGUCAUUAACUUGAUUUCAUACAAAAGGAAGCAUAAGGGAACAAAAAACGGAAAGAGAUCAAAAUUCCUGAAAACACAAGGAAAAGGAACUUGCUGAUUUUAUCCGGUUUCUUCACACGCAAAAUGCAGACAAUCAUUUUGAAGUAUAACUUCACUCAGACAUUUUAACAAACAGUGAAUGGGCAUGGAAAAAUUCCAACAAAUCUCUGCUCAAUUUAUGUUAUGACCGGCCCCAAAAUUAUCAGAACAAGAAGGAUUUCAAUUCCACUUAUCAUAUAUAAUAUACAUACUCCAAAUUCAUAAAUAGCCCACAAGAAAUUACUAAAAACCCAGGCAUAGAAAAACAAGUUUCGGGAACUUGAAGAAAACUGAAAUAUGAAAGAAAAAGGGCGACUUACCGUGUUCCCCUUCAACGUGAAAGCUCUGCAAUGAUAAAGCUGGAUUUUUGGUGAAGUGGUAGCAGCUCCUCGCGAGUGCGGCAGUUUGAUGGCAGGGACAACGUCGGUACUAGUGGCUUAAAUGAUUGUUGGCUCCGCUCGCUCCAGUAACCACCGGAUAGCCUUGCCGUGGGACUUGCGGCCCAGCUCCCGUGUCAAUUGGAAGAUCCUGGCAGCACAAGCGGCAGGUGUGCAGAUUUUCCUGCCGCGCCCCUCCACCUUGGUGUGGCGGUCCUUGGAGGAGAGUAACCCGACCCGGAUGUCAUACGGGAUCCAAGCUGCCUCUGGGGUUUCGUUAUGGAAUUAAAGGAGAGGGACAGUGAGGCAGGCGCAACGAGGAGAUGAUAUGGUGCGGCAGAAAAAGGGUGGCUGAUGUGCGCCGAGCGACGAAAAGCGCCAUGGCCGCCGCUGCUGCUGGCUGCUGAUUUGGAGACCAGGCCUUUCUUCCCUUGUUCCUUUGCUGCCCUUUUCCAACCCUGCCGAAGCAAUUUUCUUCCUCCUCCUUUGGCCAAGCCCUCUGUUUCCUUGCUUUUAUUUCUUUUCCUCUCUCAGCCGUUGCCUCUCCCUACUACCUGAAACCUUCUUCUCUUUCUUGUCUGCCGCCCCUCUUCUAGCUUGUUCCUUCCAUUUCUUGUUCCCCAUAGCUUUCCCCUUUUCUCCUUUCUUUCUUUUUUUGUUCUUCCGUCGCUCCCCCCUCCCUUUUUCUAGACCUCCCCUUUUUCUGUCGAGAGCCUUCCCCGUUUCCUUUUUUCGUUGCCUUUAUUUCUUUUAGCUCCCGUUUCUCUCACUUUGGCCGAAACUCUCCUCCAUGGUUUCACUUAGCCUUUUUCUCUGGCCGCUCCUCCUGUUUUUUCUUCUCUGUUUUUCACUCCUUCUCUUGUUGCCCCCUGUUCUCCAACCUCUCCGUUGGUUCUUCCUUAGUCUUUUCUUUUCUUUUCGACCAUCUCCCUUCUCAGCCCUUCUCUCCUUCUUUUUUGUUUCAGCCGUUCCCCCCAUUCUUUUGUCCAGCCGUUCUCUCUUUCUCUUUUUUUUUUCUUCUUUUCGCAGACCCUCAGCUCCCCCCUUAAUCUUGUGCGCCGCCCCUGCUUUUGUAGUUUUCCCUAAAAAACUAACCCUAAAAUGAAAAGCCAAGAUUUCAUUCUCAAAAAAGGUCCAUGUGUCUUAUUCUUGUCCCUUUGAUUGACUUUUCCCUCUCUUCUUUUUUUUCAAAAAUUUCAUGCUAAAAAGUCUAAAAAUGAGAUUAGUAAAAUAAAAUAAUACAAAUAAUUAGUAUCGAUAAAAAAAAAAUAAAAAGUAAAAAAUAAAACCAAAAUUUGGUGUCUACAGUUUGCCCCUCUUUGUCUGAGUUUUGGAAAAACUUGAGACAAACAAGUAGACACCAAAUACUUACCUGCGUUAUUCGGCUGCGAAUGAUUCCAACGAUUCCUGCUCUUGAAACGAGGACUGACUUCUUUAUCAAAAUGUUGAAAUGGGAUUGACCCAAACAGGAAUUUAAAACGGGAUGCACACUAGUGGGACUGACCCACGGCAGUGGCAAUGUAAAUGGAAAUGCUCACUAGUGGGACUGACCCACUAGUGGCAGUGCAAGUGAAAUGCCUUGACAAUCGGUCAGUGGGAUUAAACCCGAGCCUGCCUCAGUUGCACAGAAUCCAAGCCCAAUCGGGAUGUUGGCGGUAUAAAGUCCAGGCCCAACGGGAUCUUUGAGAUGUUGGUGGCACGAAAUCCAGGCCCAACGUGAUUUUUGGAAUGUUGGCGGCACAAAAUCCAGGCCCAACGUGAUUUUUGGAAUGUUGGCAGCACGAAAUCCAGGCCCAACUUGAUUUUUGGAAUGUUGGCGGCACAAAGUCCAGGCCCAACGUGGUGAUGUGAUGUUGGCGGCACAAAGUCCAGGCCCCAUGAUGAUGUGAUGUUGGCGGCACGAAGUCCAGGCCCAACGUGAUCUUUGUGGUGUUGGCGGCACAAAAUCGAGGCCCAACGUGAUCUUUGGGAUGUUGGCGGCACGAAAUCCAGGCCUAACGUGAUCUUCACUUUUGUUUGACGAGCUAUUUUCACAACGAGCCACUUUGAGGCUUUCAAUUUUUUGGCAUUCCAUUGAAACAAACUUCUCUGUCUGGAAUCAAGAUUGUCAACUGUUCGUUGUUCCAUUAUGCUUUCCUUUGGCAUGAAACAUCAGCCUUGGCCCUUUCAAAUAUCUCUGCUCUGGAGUCCGGUGUUGGCGAAAGCACUUAGUGCCCUUUCGGGUUUUCGCUAAGGUCGUCUCCACCCCUUUUGUUUUGUCUUGUGCUUCUUUCUUUCUUUUCCUCUUUUUUCCUUGAUUUUUCCAAUUUUUCCAUUUGGGAGGAUCCUCUCGAAAAUAAUUUGCCCCAAUUUCCACCAAUUAUUGUGCAGCCGAUCAUUUGAUUUACGUUACGGCAUGGUUGCUCCUCCUUAAGGCCUUGAUUCGCAAGAUUCUGACUUGCGCUUCUUCAUCGAUUUCAAGCCAUGAAUUCCUGCAUAGGGGGCUUAACAAAGUAUGACAUGCACUUAAAUUCCAUGAAAAGAGCAGCGGGAUUGAUUCAAAAGUGCGUUACUUGACUCUUGGGCGAAAUCCUCAAACGUGUUACAAAAAUUUGCCCCAGCAUGGGCUUAUUUUGCGAAAUCUCACAAAUAAAAAUUUUGCCCAGUGUGGGCCUAUUUUGCAAAAUCUCUCAAAUGAAAAUUUGCCCCAGUGUGGGCCCAUUUAGUUGCAAAAAUUUGUUUGGAUGACUCUCCAUUUAUUUGAACAAAGUAAGAAACUAUGUUCCCAAACAGAAAAUUUCAUGAUGAAUUUCUCAAAAUAAUAUCCAAUUUCAAAUGAUUCAUUCCUUCCUUUAGCAUUGAUGCUUUGGGUAAAGGGUCACCACUUUUUGUUAGCUCCUCUUUCAAGACCAAUCAAGUAGGCAUUAUUUCUGCUUUUGAGAAGGCUAAGGAAAAAUUAGAGGUUAAGAUCUGUCUUAUUUUUGUGCCCAAUGGUAUGUAAUUCAUUCAACAUCACAUCUUAGUGAAAGCAAGUAGUUUGUCACCCCUAUUUCUUGAGAAAAAUUAGUCAGCAUGUAAGCUUUCUAGGCUUGUAACGUAUGGGCAAAAACGAUAGCUAAACAUGUGAAAACUGGUCAUACCCUUAUGAUCACAAAUGAUUGAUAGAUUUCUCAUGAGUAUAAUCCUCACUUUUGGUUGCCAUGCAGGAUAAGUCAACGAUGGACUUUAUGAGCUUGUAAUGUGGCUUGAAAAUGAUAGUUAAAGAAUAAGACUUUCAAGGACGUUGCACCGAAGAUCGCAUUUUUCCAAAAAUGCCCCUAUUUUGAACUCAAAGAUUUUAACCUUUGUUUGACUUUUACCAUCACUUAACGGGGAUUUCACCAUCAAAUCUUUUCAUUUCUUUUGCAUUUAUUUUUCGCUUUUCUUUUCCUUUUCUUUUCAAAGGUGCCCUGACGGAUUUUCACUUGAUGGGCAGUGCCAACCUCAUCUAAUCAAUUCAGAAAUAUAUCUAAAAAAUUUCUUGGCAUCAGUACAUGAACAUCACUUGCCAAUUAGAAAAUUUCUUGACAGACAUAUUGCAAAGAACAGAAGUCAGGGCUUUCGGCUUUUGUAAUGGGGUCUGGUGGGGUGCUUAGAAAGGUUAAGGCUUGAAAGCAGAUGUCGAAAGCUAUUUGAAUGACCUGAGAUCUCAUUAUUGUGGCAACCCUAUUUUAGGGUUAAAUCAGAACUUGUCCCAGUUUAUUCUCAAUUGAGACUCUUUUCUCUUUCAUUUUGUUCUCUUUUUUCGGCUUUCUGCCAUUCUUUUGAACUUUUCCAAAAAUUUGCCCCAAUUUAUACUUAACCGAGGUUCUCUUUUCUUUUCUUCCUUUUGCUUUUGUUGUUUUAGCAUUUUUCACCUCUUGGGACUUUCGUUCCUUUUCAACUCAAACUUGCCCCAGUAUGGGGUUUGCGAUUCUCAAGGGUUGCCAAACGAAAUAAUUUAUUCUGAAGGCUCAAAAGAGAUAACUAGGGAUAGAAUGUUUGAUUGGAAAAGAAGAGGGCCUGACUUUUCAUUCCGUUUCUUACAUUAACUUUGAAAGAAAACUUCCAUUAAUGCGAAAUUCUUUGCAUGCAUCUGAAUUAAUUGAUUGAGGAAGACUCCUGUUCGUCCAUAUCUGUGAAGCAUAGAGAAUCCGCCGGACAACUCUUCUUUCUUUUCUCUUUCUCUUUUUUCUCUCUUUUCUUUUCUCUUUUUUUUUCUUUCAAAAUUGAAACCCAAGUAGGAUCAAAUUUUCCCAUUUGGGGUUCUCUCUUUCUUUUAAUUUUAGCAUUUUGCUUUUCUUCUUUUUGGAAAAAUUCUCCAAUCUCCUUCCCCAAUGUGGGGUGCGAUCAUAAGUGAUUUUGAAAAGAACCACCCAUUUUAGCUCAAAGGAGGAUGCAAGGGGUAGAACAGUGUUUAGGUUGUAGAAAUGAUGGCCAAAGCAUCAUUCUUACGCUUCAUGACAACCAAAGUAACGAAUUGCUCAUUGAAAAUCCAUUUUCUUUUGAUAUUUGAAAAUCUUCCGAUGCAGGGUAAUGAUCAUUAAGGCUCUCGUUUGAAACGAAAUUAUUCUUUUAAAGGUUCAAAUGGGAGAGCAAAUGAUAAAAUCUGUAUAGGUAGAGAAACGAACGCUCGAAGUAUCAUUCCAAAUUUUCAAAAUAAACAAGGAUAAUGCACAUUUUUGCUUUCACUUGGAUGUGAAUUGAACAUAAUUAGACGCAAUGGACAUUUUUCAAGCAAAGAUUACCCCAAUUUGUAAUUUAUCAAUCAAUGUGACUGAUUUAAUUUUGGGGUUAAGUGAAGGAGAGAAGGUAUCUCAUUGGGCCUUUUGAGUGACCGCUCACCCUUUUUUUCUUUUUUUUUUAACUCUGAGCACUCCUAUUGUAUAGCUCGGAUCACCAAUGGAGUGUACGUAAGGAUUUUAGAAAGCAUACACUCGUGAAAUUUCAGGCUGGAGGUUGAGGAAAUCUCAAUUUAGCUUUAUUUUCCAAAAUUCAUCAUGAAAUCUCCGAUGAGCAAAAGAAUGAUAUGUACAUGAAUAUAUACAAAACAAUAAUUGUCUGAAAACUUUAUUGUUGAAAAAGAUUAAAACAAAAUUUCUCGUUCAAUUAUAAUACAAAUGAGAAGAGAAAGACUUCUAAAAAGCUCCACAUAUACCCAUUUUUCUUUUCUUUUGGAACAAGAAUGUAUUAACAAAUCCAAUAAACAUAAUUUUCUUUUCUUUGGAGAACAAUUAUGAAGUCUCUUAGAGGCUUUAGCCUAGUAUUUCCAGAUAGAUCUUUCAUGUUUUCAUUGCAAGGUCUGCCCAAGAAUCAAACAAUACUUGUAAUUUUCACACUUUAUUAUAUCAGAAUUGUUAUCAGAUAUAGAAAAAUAUUUUCGCCUUAUUGAAAUAUUUUUUAUGAGUGCAGGGGAGGGGGAAACAAAAGAAAAAAUACCCCGAGUUAGUAGGCAAAACUACAAAAUCGGUAUGCAUGUCCUAUGGAGGAGCCCUUUUAUGCCAAGGGUAGGCCUAGCAUGAAAAUGCAAUCCUCUAGGGUAGGCACCAUACAAUACCUGAUGAAUCCGAUCAACUGAUUGGGUGAAAAAUGAUUUUAAAAAAAUUUGGCCAAUUUGGAGUGCGAAGAAACAUUUGUCCUAAAAGAUGAGGACAAAGUCCGAAUGGAUUGCUUACUUUGAUCAACACAUGAUGUGCCAAAAGGGGUAAAAUGGUGAAAUUCAUUGAAUGAAAUUUGAAAAUUUAUUGAAAAUUGAAUGGAUAACUCUAAAAAUGAAUUAAACUAAUCAAAUGAAUGAAAUCAAUUGAUUAACCGAAAUGAUGAUUUAUUCAAAAUCGAUCGAAUUGCCCUAAAAAUAGGUAAACUAGUCAAAUGUAUCGGAUGAUUUAUUCAAAAUUGACAAGAUCACCCUAAAAAGGGUAAAGUGGUCAAAUGCAUUGAAUGAAAUUUGAUUAUUUGUUCAAAAAUCGACCAGAUCACCCUAAAAAGGGUAAAUUGGUCAAAUGAAUUGAACGAAAUUAAUAAUUUAUUCAAAAAUCAACCAAAUCACCCAAAAAGGGUAAAUUAGUCAAAUGAAUUGAUUGAAAUUGAUGAUUUAUUCAAAAAUCGACCAAACCACCCUAAAAAGGGUAAAUUAGUCAAAUGAAUUGAUUGAAAUUGAUGAUUUUUUCAAAAAUCAACCAAAUCACCCAAAAAGUGUAAAUUAGUCAAAUGAAUUGAUGAUUUAUUCAAAAAUCAACCAAAUCACCCAAAAAGGGUAAAUUAGUCAAAUGAAUUGAUUGAAAUUGAUGAUUUAUUCAAAAAUCGAUCAAAUCACCCUAAAAAGGGUAAAUUAGUCAAAUGAAGUGAUUGAAAUUCAUGAUUUAUUGAAAAAUCGACCAAAUCACCCUAAAAAGGAUAAAUUAGUCAAAUGAAUUGAUUAAAAUUCAUGAUUUAUUCAAAAAUCAACCAAAUCACCCAAAAAGGGUACAUUGGUCAAAUGGAUUGAAUAAAAUUUAUGGUUUAUUCAAAAAUGGGUUGAAUUGUCCACCCAUUGGUAAUUUUCAAAAAUUCAUUGUGAUGCAUUAGUUUAUGAGCCUUCUAAAAUCAAAUUUUAGCCUCAAUUCAUUUAUCAUCUCAAUAGUGAGGAAUUUAUUUGUGAAUUUCUUCGAAUUAAUGUCCUUUACGCAAGGGAUUUUUACCAAUGUUGACAAAAUGGCCAAAAGUGAUUAUUAGACGCUCAUAUUCCAAUGUGCAAAAAUUGCUUUGCCAUUUUCGAAAAGAUCGGAUCCUACCUUACCUUGUGCACUACCCCUUUGGAUGGUACAAAAUAUAAACGUGCAAGUCUCCUUGGAUUAAGUAUCCGAGACAUAAGGUGGUUUUAUUCCUAACACGGGAUCCCCUAAAUGGCAUUCCCUUUCUAGGGUGGAUGCAUGAUGCCAUUUAUUAAAGCGAUGUAAAUAUGUGAUAAAUAUGGCCUAAAGGACAUAAAUAAUGCAUCGGGGCGAAAAUGUCAAAAAAUGAAAUGUACUUAUUGAAAAUUAAGUGUAAUAACUGAAAUUUAAACAUGUGCAUUAUCUAGUGGGUAAGUUACUAAAAAGAGUGCCAAAGAGGCCUCUUAUUGCUAAGGCACAUGAAUGCAAGCCAAGAAAACAAUGAAAUGGUUAGUGCAAUUGAUAGUACACAUAACAUAUUGGGAGCAAUUAAGAAAAGAAGAAAAAGGGGUGGAACCCCUUCCCUCGUGCCUAAUGUGCUUAAAAAGGGUGAGGUUGACUCUAACCUAGGAAAACUCUAACAUGGAUGCAUGAGGCUGGGCUCACUAAUGCAACUAGACUCUAUAAGGUUUAAAAAGGUCCCCAAGUCUUCAGACCUAAGGGAAUGGGUCAUCAAUCUCAAGACCCUCGGUUGGUGGCUCGAGCGAUCCCCUAGGUACUGCUAUGGGCGCAGAGCACACCAUCCACAUACCUAGAGAAACCAUUCCUAGUCCUACAAGACGGUGUGGGAAAGAGCCCACGAAAAUAAAAUAAAAUGGGAUAACAGUAAAUAAACGUGCACGUAUGAAGUGUUCCCUAUUUUGAGGGAAAGGGUUGAGACUCAAUGCGAGGCUCUAAAGGUGACGUACCCCCCCCCAAAUGCAAUGCAAAGCGCUAGAUAAAACAAGUAAAAAAUACAUCCAAGCAACCAAUCAUACAUACGUGAGUGAGGGAGUAGUUUGAUACGCGUGCGAGGCAAAAGGUCCUAAAAUGGAAAAUGCAACCCUAAUAUCCAAAUGCUACGCAUAACAACGGUAGAAAACGAAAAAGAAUGGCUAAAUCAAAUGCUUGGACCCACUUAGGAGUCCCCAGUGGAGUCGCCAAGCUGUCGCGCCCCACUUUUUGAUGUGGUGAAAGUAGUGUGUAGGAUAUGUAUGUGAACGUGUGUGAAAGUGAAAAUAAAAAGGCCGUGGGAUUGUGAAAUGCGACGGUUUGGCCAAACAAAGGGUUUUAGAUAGAAAAGGAGUCGCCACUUGGUAUAGAGUUAGGGUGUACCAAGUCACCCAAAAAGUGAUUUUGUUUUUGGAAAGAAAAGUAAACAAACCCUUUUUAAAGAAUUUUUUAGGUCUACGUAACCAAAGAAAGGGAUCGGGGGUCACAUUUGAUAAGGGAGAAGGCAAAGGCCAAGCCUAAGGCACUCCCUUACCCUAGCCAAAGCUAGUUGCGUGACUUAGCCCUUCUUUUCCUAAUUUUUCUACGCAAAGUAUGUGUUGCAUGUUGGAUAUGACUAAUGGAUACGAAAAAAGGAAAAAUGCAAUCCUAAAUCUAAAAUGUCUCUUAUGAGGCUUUUUGGUCCCAGCCACAUGAGUUGUGAUGGCCAAUAAGGAAAACUCUCAUAGAGGUCACGGGUAAUGCAAAUGAAGACCCAAAUAUGAGUGCAAGUAUGAAAAUGUAAGAAGAAUGCAAAAUAAAAUAAAAAUACAAAUACAAAUGUAAGUGCAAAUGUGCAAGUGUAAGAUAAGUGCAUGUGUGCAAAUGUAAGAAAAGUGCAUGUGUGCCCAUUGAGAAAAUAAAAGUGUUUAUGUGCAAGUGGAUGAAAAUAUGGUAUAAUGGUAGUAAGUGCAUAUAAGUGCAAUUUGGGUGCAAUUUGUGAGGUAGAAAAUAAAUAAAAGAAAAAGAAUGUGCAAACAUGGCAUGUGGAUUGCGAAAAAUGUAAGUAGUGAGAAAAUGUGGAUAAAAAAGUGAGGAGGUGAUAUGAUAGAAAUGAAAGUGUAUGAACCUAGAGGAAUGCAUCAAGUCGGGUACGGGAAUGACUCCUAAUUUCACGACUUUAAUUUUCCCUUUGAUUAGAAGGAACGACUAGCGUGCUAAGGCUAUUUUGUAGCCACACUCGCUCGUUUCCCUUACCGAAAGGGGACUCUCAAGCAAAUGUACCCUAUAACUAGCGUGAAGAUGUAAAUACCUAAAACGAAAGGGAAAGGGUUGGAGGGGCAUGCCAAAUGCUAGAAAACUAAGAAAAAUGCAUGAAAUGUAGUGAGACAUGCAAGUAUGUACUAACGAGAGGGGACAACCUAUUGGGUCUAGUAUUGGACUAGCCCUUUUCUAAAAUUCUCUUACAAGCAUUGGAAUUGCGAGAGCUCGAGGGGAAAGACCAUGGCCAGCAUUGGACUAGCCACGGUGACGCAUUUAUCCAUCACAUUCAUCUAUGACUAUAGAAAGCAAGUAGACAUGCCAAUCACCUAUAAACACGUAGCACAUAACACUUAGUAUGCUCGACUAAAUGUAAGAGCCUAAGAAAGCAAGUAACACGUAGCACUUAAGCAUGCAAAUCACACAGGGCAAAUAAAGCAAAGAAAGCCCUAUCUAUUACAUUAGGGGAGCCCUACUACAAUCUAAAAAGGGAAAAUAAAUAAAUAAUAAUUAAAAUAAAUACCUAAUUAUUACAAACUUGGCAUUCAAGUGCCUUCCAAAUAACCAAAAUUGAAUUAAAAUAAAUAUGCCAAAUUAAAAAAAAUAAAGCGAAUAAAUAAAUAAAUAAAUAAAUCAAUAAAUAACAAAAACAUUUAAGAGGCAUGCAAUUAAGCACGUAACAUCACAUAGGGCACGUUGAGUCAAAUAAGGUCAAAAUAAGGGAUAGAGUGUACCUCCUUUGAAGUUGGGGUCCUAAUGAAGUGAAGUCACUUAUUUACCCUCAAAAAAUGCAAAGAAAAGGUCAAGGCAUCACUUUAAUUAACAAAAAAUCACAAAAGAUAAAAAUAAACAUGAAAUUGAAUCAAUUAAAUCAUAUAGACAACCCACAUUUAAGAAGUCAAAAGAAGAAAAGAUUUGAUUGCAGAAAUUAACGAAGCUUUGGGGUCAAAAUUAAAGACAAAUAAAGUUUAGGGACCUAUCUGCAAUUAAAUUAGGGACUCAAUUGAAAGCGUUGAAAGUUAGUAGGGCCAUACUAUAGUUAAGGAAAAAUCCAGGGACUGAUUUGAAAUUUCGUUUCCAGAUUCUUAGUGGCUCAAGCCUUUGGGCAGUUUUCUUAUUUGUUUGGGCCUAAGACUUUCCCAGCCCAACGGACAUUCAGAGCAAAAGGAAUGGAUCAAUCUAUUACUUAUGUCCCCAAGCUUAGCCAACAAAACCGGUGGGCUUCUACCCUCUAGCCCAAACCAAAAAAAACCCAAAAAUAAACUAACCCAUUCUUACAAACCCAAUCAAAAUAACCUCUCAACCCAAAACCCAUUUCACUAAAAUCCAACAUGGAAAAAUCAACUAAAAUUAUGAAACCUCAAUUAUAACCUAAAAUCAAUAAUUAAUCUACCCCAAAAGGCUACUUAAAAGUGAAAAGAUGAUUAAAAUUUGAAGGGCGAAAUUGGUUUCAUUACAAACGUUUUUGGGCCAUAUCAGAACAAAGGAAACUUGAGGGGUUCCAAUGCAAUAAAAACAGGGACUCAAUCGAAAGAAUUAUGAAAGGUUUGGGGCGAAUUAUGGAGUUCUAAAAAUUCUGGAGGUAAAUUGCAAAAAAAAAAUUUGAAAAUGGAGGGACUGAAAUCAUAAAUUUAGUCAAGCAAAUAUUCUUCUCCGAACUGGCUCAUGUCCGCUGCUAUUUCAUUCCUCUUUGCAACCAGAAAAUUCAACUUCGGACUCCAAUCAACAGGACAAAACAAAAGAAAAACAAAUGACUCUCACAUGAAUCUCCUCUGAAUCCCUCUCAUGUUAUUAACUAACUUGAUUUCAUACAAAAGGAAGCGUAAGGGAACAAAAAACGGAAAAAGAUCAAAAUUCCUCAAAACACAAGGAAAAGGAACUUGCUGAUUUUAUCCGGUUUCUUCACACGCAAAAUGCAGACAAUCAUCUUGAAGUAUAACUUCACUCAGACAUUUUAACAAAUAGUGAAUGGGCAUGGAAAAAUUCCAAUAAAUCUCUGCUCAAUUUAUGUUAUGACCGGCCCCAAAAUUAUCAGAACAAGAAGGAUUUCAAUUCCACUUAUCAUAUAUAAUAUACAUACUCCAAAUUCAUAAAUAGCCCACAAGAAAUUGCUAAAAACCCAGGCAUAGAAAAAUAAGUUUCGGGAACUUGAAUAAAACUGAAAUAUGAAAGAAAAAGGACGACUUACCGUGUUCCCCUUCAACGUGAAAGCUCUGCAAUGAUAAAGCUGAAUUUUUGGUGAAGUGGUAGCAGCUCCUCGCGAGUGCGGCAGUUUGAUGGCAGGGACAGUGUCGGUACUAGUGGCUUAAAUGAUUGUUGGCUCCGUUCGCUCCAGUAACCACCGGAUAGCCUUGCCGUCGGACUUGCGGCCCAGCUCCCGUGUCAAUUGGAAGAUCCUGGCAGCACAAGCGGCAGGUGUGCAGAUUUUCCUGCCGCGCCCCUCCACCUUGGUGUGGCGGUCCUUGGAGGAGAGUAACCCGACCCGGAUGUCAUACGGGAUCCAAGCUGCCUCUGGGGUUUCGUUAUGGAAAUAAAGGAAAGGGACAGUGUGGCAGGCGCAACGAGGAGAUGAUAUGGUGCGGUAGAAAAAGGGUGGCCGAUGUGCGCUGGGCGGCGAAAAGCGCCAUGGCCGCCGCUGCUGCUGCUGCUGAUUUGGAGACCAGGCCUUUCUUCCCUUGUUCCUUGCUGCCCUUUUCCAACCCUGCCGAAGCAAUUUUCUUCCUCCUCCUUUGGCCAAGCCCUCUGUUUCCUUGCUUUUAUUUCUUUUCCUCUCUCAGCCGUUGCCUCUCCCUACUACCUGAAACCUUCUUCUCUUUCCUGUCUACCGCCCCUCUUCUAGCUUGUUCCUUCCAUUUCUUGUUCCCCGUAGCUUCCCCCUUUUCUCCUUUCUUUCUUUUUUUGUUCUUCCGUCGCUCCCCCCUCCCUUUUUCCAGACCUCCCCUUUUUCUGUCGAGAGCUUUCCCCAUUUCCUUUUUUCGUUGCCUUUGUUUCUUUUAGCUCCCGUUUCUCUCACUUUUGCCGAAGCUCUCCUCCAUGGUUUCACUUAGCCUUUUUCUCUGGCCGCUCCUCCUGUUUUUUCUUCUCUGUUUUUCACUCCUUGUCUUGUUGCCCCCCUGUUCUCCAACCUCUCCGAUGGUUCUUCCUUAGUCUUUUCUUUUCUUUUCGACCAUCUCCCUUCUUGGCCCUUCUCUCCUUCUUUUUUGUUUCAGCCGUUCCCCCCAUUUUUUUUCCAGCUGUUCUCUCUUUCUCUUUUUUUUUCUUCUUUUCGCAGACCCCCAGCUCCCCCCUUAAUCUUGUGCGCCGCCCCUGCUUUUGUAGUUUGCCCUAAAAAACUAACCCUAAAAUGAAAAGCCAAGAUUUCAUUCUCAAAAAAGGUCCAUGUGUCUUAUUCUUGUCCCUUUGAUUGACUUUUCCCUCUCUUCUUUUUUUUUUCAAAAAUUUCAUGCUAAAAAGUCUAAAAAUGAGAUUAGUAAAAUAAAAUAAUACAAAUAAUAAGUAUCAAUAAAAAUAAAAAAUAAAACCAAAAUUUGGUGUCUACAAAGUGGUAGAAUUCCGCAUUCCUGGUGAGGCAACCUUAAGGUUGGACAUAAGGGGUAUGUUAGCCUCAUCUACUUUGAUUUCGGGCAUUAGGGCUAGAAAACUGCUAAGUAGAGGGGCGCAAGGAUUUUUAGCCUUUUUGAUUAACACCCCUAUGGAUAAGUUAAAGGUGGAGGACGUGGCCAUAGUAAAGGAAUUUUCAGAUGUAUUUCCUAAUGAGUUAGUAGCCCUACCUCCGGAAAGAGAGAUAGAAUUCAAGAUAGACCUGCUACCUGGAACCUCACCUAUCUCCAAAACACCAUACCGAAUGGCCCCUGCAGAGCUCAAGGAGCUAAAGUUGCAAUUGCAAGACCUUCUGGAGCGGGGAUUCAUUCAAGAGAGUGGGUCUCCUUGGGGAGCUCCUGUCCUGUUUGUAAAGAAAAAGGACGGAACCUUGAGGAUGUGUAUCGACUACCGGGGCCUGAACAACAUCACGGUUAAGAAUAAAUAUCCGCUGCCCCACAUUGAUGAGUUGUUCGACCAGUUGCAAGGAGCAGUAGUCUUCUCAAAAUUGGACCUCCGACAAGGGUACUACCAAUUGUUGAUUAGGAGGGAGGACAUUCCGAAAACUGCUUUCAAUUCAAGAUAUGGGUAUUACGAAUUCGCAGUUAUGCCCUUCGGACUAACCAAUGCUCCUGCCGCCUUCAUGGACCUUAUGCAUAGGGUUUUUAAGCCCUAUUUAGACCGAUUUGUCGUUGUUUUUAUUGAUGACAUUUUGGUCUACUCCAAAACACGCGAGGAGCAUGCGCAGCAUUUGAGAGUGGUGUUGCAGACCCUAAGGGAGCAUCAGUUGUACGCCAAGUUCAGUAAGUACGAGUUUUGGCUGGAGAAAAUUGCUUUUCUAGGGCACGUAAUCUCCCAAGAAGGUAUCUCGGUUGACCCGGCAAAAGUAGAGGCCGUGACCAAUUGGAAGAGGCCGGAAAACCCCAUAGAGAUCCGUAGUUUUCUAGGGCUAACUGGGUAUUACCGACGUUUCAUUAAAGACUUCUCCAAAUUAGCAGAACCUUUAACUGACCUAACGAAGAAACAUGGUCGAUUCGUAUGGAAUGCCCGAUGUGAGACGAGUUUUCAAGAACUAAAGAAAAGGUUGACCAUGGCUCCAGUGCUAGUUUUGCCAAAUGGAGUGGACGGAUUUACUGUGUAUACUGACGCGUUACGAGAAGGCCUGGGUUGCGUGUUAAUGCAGAACCGUAAUGUGAUCUCUUUUGCCUCUAGGAAAUUGAAACUUCACAAGCAAAAUUACCCGACCCACGAUCUGGAGCUAGCCGCCGUUGUUUUUGCGCUGAAAAAGUGGAGGCAUUACCUAUAUGGGGUAACCUUCGAGGUUUACUCCGAUCACAAAAGCCUUAGGUACCUCUUCUCACAGAAGGAAUUAAACAUGAGGCAGCGACGGUGGAUGGAAUUUCUAGAAGAUUAUGACUGCACAAUCAACUACCAUCCGGGAAAGGCAAACGUGGUAGCCGAUGCCUUGAGUCGUAAGGUUCAAGUAGCGGGUUUGAUGAUCAAAGAGUGGGAUUUAUUAGAACCUGUAUGUGAGGGGAGGCCCUGUCUUGGGAGUCAUAAGGUGAGUUUUAGUAAUGUUACGGUGACCUCCACUUUCUUGGAACGCAUCAAAGAAGCGCAAAAGGAAGAUUUGAUGGUAAGGAAGUGGGGAGAGAAAGUGGAGAAAGGAGAAACAACGGAUUUCAAUUUUAGUCCUGAGGGUAUUUUGAAAUACCGGAACCGAAUAGUGGUGCCGAAGAAUGAAUCAUUGAAAAUGGAGAUUCUAGAAGAAGCUUAUCGGUCCAAGUAUACAAUCCAUUUGGGUAGUAGCAAGAUGUAACAAGAUCUGAAAGGAACCUAUUGGUGGGACAAUAUGAUGAAGGAAAUCGCGUUGCACGUGCAAAAAUGUCUCAUUUGCCAACAGGUGAAAAUGGAACAUCAAAAACCAUCGGGUCUAUUACAACUCCUUGAGAUACCCGAGUGGAAGUGGGAAAACAUCACCAUGGACUUCAUUUCAGGUUUACCGUGGACGCAAAGUGUGACAGCCCCACUUUCCCCUAAGGCGAACCAAAGGAGUUAGCGGACUGCCUGCCCAGCUCUCGCCAGGACUACGGAUCAGAUUAGAGCUAUCCGCUUCAAUCCGGAACUUACAAACUCGCGUAAACAAAUCAAAAUAGUAAAACAACCCAAGAUAAAAUGAAAAGAAAUCCGGAGCCGGCCAUGAAUAGUAACCGACCCGUCAGAACCCAACCGAAAUAGCUAACAAACAUUUACAUCUGAACUUUAGCGUUUACAAAUCAAAAUGACAUACAAAAGCUUUCAAAAGAUAAUACAUAUACACGGUUUGCCAAAUCAAAAGAGAAACGCCCCAAAAGUACACUUAGGGUUUUAAUACAUGAGCUAUACAAAAGAUAUGUUCAACUAGCUCAAGUCGGCAACCGAUUAUCAAGUCCAGUCCAAAAGUAUUUAUUUUCCUGUAAGGAAAACAAAAGGGACAGAACGGGGUGAGCUUGCGCUCAAUGAGGUACCAAACAGAUAGCAGAAAAAUCAUGGCAUUUCACAUUUUCAAAUCAGAUACACAUGCCAGAUGUAAAGCAAAGGAACCAAUGAUUCAAAUCAAAAGGAUACGGGUGGCUCUCAGGAGCCAAAUUUCCAGCGCAGUACUUGAUCCAAAUUGGUUGACUCUCCGUCAACGUAUAUAGAACCAAAACGUCCGUAGACCCCUCUUUACACCGAAUUCCGUCCACCAAACACCCCUUUACCGGGGCCGCUCACCGUAACUGAACAGAAAUGGUAAUACUCGAGUAUACCGGAAUCAAGGGUCUCAAUACCCAAAAAUCCCCGAACAGACUACCGUGGUUCGUUAUCUAAUCGUCCAGGCCCUUGCCGGCCCGACUCGAAUAACUUAGCCACAGGAUUGAGCUCAUAAGUCAUAGAAAUCCGAACAGAUGCAGACACAGCUAACAGAUUCAGAUACAGAUACAGAAUAGCAGAUUCAGAUAGCAGAUUCAGACGGCAGAUUCAGAUAGGCACUCAAAAUUGGCAUAUGAACAGAUAGAAGAACGAGUGUGAUAAAGUACACCCUCGCCUCCAUUUUAUAAAAACAGUAUUUGGCUUCACUAGUCAUAAAUCAAGUAUUCAGAUAUUCAGAUAUUUCACAUAAUGGGUAGCAGGUAGUGGAACACUCACCGGCUCAACUUCAAAAGUUUUCACUUCAGAUUGGCCUUAAUCGCCAAGAAACCCUAAAAUAAUCAAAAUAAACCAAUUGAAGGUUUUACUUCCAGAAUCGAGUAAACAGAAUGCACAUGUGAGGCUCGACUACACGUCGUACGCCUUGCCAAAUAAAUACUAAUGCAAGAAUGCAAAAACAUGAUUCCCUUGGAAACGAAAAGGUAGCAUGAGGACCUAGGCGCAAACAACCCAAAAGCCUUUCAUUCUACCAAAAGGCAAAUCCAACUUAAAGGAACCAAACGGCCUAGAAAAUCGGCCAGUACUUCCCCUAAAUUUCUUACUUUUCCCAGCUAUUAAGGCUUCACUAUAUCCUCAAAUCAGUCCCAACAUUUCACACAAGAGUCACCUCAUUUCCCAAAAGCCGUUCACUAGGCUCAAAGCAGUACAAGUACAAAAGUUAGCUAGAAAAUGACCGGAAUAAGAGUAAGCCUUAAAACAUGCAAACAAGUACAAUAAGACUCGAUAACGAAUCAUAAAACCAUGCCAAUCACAACCCCAAUAGGAUUUCAUAUACCUGUAUAAGCAUAAUAGCAAACCAGAAAAUCAGAAAAUAUAACUCAUUUGAUCAAUCAACAAAAACAGGUUUGGCCUCCGUAUGCGGUAAUGGCACAACUCUCACUACAAUUAUCGGUUGGGGGUGUAAGACCCACCGUUUCGAAGCCAAGAAACAGAGCUACAACAUUGUAGAAGGUCACUCAGUCCAGUUCCUAGUACAACUAGGUCAAAUGUGCCAAAUACUAUCCCAGAAUUACCAAAACAGGUUUGCAAAACGCAGAAAACUGUAAUCGGUAUAUCUCAGUCCAUACAAGUCCAAAUGCCGAAAUUCCAAAGGCAUAUGUUAGCUAAGACAUCCAGCUUCAAUUCAUAAGAAGACACCAACUUCAAAAUCCAAACCAAUUCCAGUCAAAACAGCCCAAUACCAACGCAGUUUUCGUAUUCUGACCAAAGCAGAACAGCUACAGUAAAAACGUCAUAUCUCACUCUACACUAAUCCAAAUGACCUGAAAUUUUGAAGGCACUUCAAACUCAUCAAUACCUACAACUUUCAUGUUUGGAGCAAAGUCCAAUUCGGCCUCUAUCUAUGACCUAAAUUUCGGACAGAAUGUUCAACCAAGAACCCUAAUUUUCCAGAAAUUCUUCCAAAUCCAAAAUUGAUUGCAAUUUCCUAUCAUAUGCACCUACUAGAGCCAAAGCCCCUUAUUACCAACCAUAAAAAACAACCACACCAUCAAGAUCAUAUGAAACCAGAAAAUUCCUCAAAAAUUAAAAAACUCAACCAAAUCACUUCAAACCAAGAAAUAAUCCACAAUUUCUAACACAAUAGCCACCAUUAGGCAUAAGUUCAACAUCAUUAGCUAUAAGAGAAUGUUCAAGCAUCACUUACCAAGUAAACAAGAGAGAGGAAGAUGUUGGACACCUUAAGUUCUCCAAAAAGCUUCACCAAAACACUCACUAACACCAAGUGGAAGGAUUUUGUGGAGUAAAAACUAAUUUAGGCAAGUAGUUUGGAAGAUUGAGCUAGUUGGGAGCUUGAAAUUUGAAGCAAGUUUCUUCCUUCUUGAGCUCUCAAGAGUCGGCCAACAUAGAGUGAAAAAUGGUAAUUUUUUUGUGAAUUUUGAAGAUAUUUACUCCAUAAGUCAAAAGGUCAAAACCAUGAAUAGUAGUCUUAAGCUACUUCCAAUCCCAUGGUGACACUUGGCACCUUAGUAAAUGCAUUUCUAUCCUUUCUUUUUCCUCUCACAUCAAUCAAAUCACCUCCUCUAUUUAUCUCUUAACACCCGAUAAAUUUAACACAGUAUUCGAAACUUAACCUUAUUAGCCGAAUUUUUUCGAACUUUUCGCACUAGUGGGUCCCACGUCCGAUAUACGUUCUUAAUUUCUCAAAAUCUAUUCGAUACUAGAAAAAAUCAUUUUAAAACUAUAAUUACGCAUAAAAUCUACCAGAAAAUAUUUCUAAGCCAAAAAAUGCAGAAAACAUGCCAUUAAAGGAAAUAAACCCUAGGAAAAGAUUAGGGUUUCUACGGGUUCUCACACAAAGGGGACACGAUGCCGUUUGGGUGAUCGUCGACCGAUUAACCAAAUCGGCCCAUUUCUUGCCGGUGAAUAUGAAGUACUCCAUGGACAAGUUGGCCCAGCUGUACAUGGAUGAGGUCGUAAGGCUACACGGCGUUCCAGUCAGUAUCAUCUCCGAUCAAGAUCCAUGGUUCGUAUCUCGGUUUUGGCAGAUGUUCCAAGAAACCCUGGGGACUAAACUUAACUUGAGCACGACCUAUCACCCACAGACAAAUGGACAAUCGGAGCGGACGAUCCAAACUCUCGAGGACAUGCUACGAACUUGCAUUCUAAAUUUUGGAGGCAACUGGGGUCAACACAUGACCUUAGUAGAGUUUGCGUACAACAACAGCUACCAUUCGUCGAUUCAAAUGGCUCCAUACGAGGCACUAUAUGAACGAAAAUGCCGACCACCGAUCUACUGGGACGAAGUUGGCGAAUGGAAGGCACUAGACCCGACAACUAUUCCAUGGAUGGAAGAGGCUCGAGAAAAGGUUAAGUUGAUACGGCAACGACUCCAAACAGUUCAAAGCCGACAGAAGAGUUACGCCGACAAUCGAAGAAAAGACUUGGAGUUUGAAGUUGGAGACCAUGUGUUCCUCAAGAUCACACCCUUACGGAGCGUCACAGCAGGCAAAGGAAAAAAGCUCCAACCGAGGUUCGUUGGACCCUACAAGAUCCUCCAGAGGGUAGGAACGGUCGAGCGUCGAUUAGAGCUGCCGUCCAGUCUCUCUCGAAUUCACGACGUCUUCCACGUUUCGAUGCUCAAGAAGUACUAUCCCGACCCAUCCCAUAUCCUACAACCAGAGGAGAUCGACGUAGACGAAUCGCUUGCUUAUGAAGAGAAACCUGUCCAAGUGCUUGACCGGAAAGUCAAAGAGCUAAGAAACAAGCAGAUUCCGUUGGUUAAGAUACUGUGGAGAAACCAUGGGGUAGAGGAAGCUACCUGGGAGGUGGAAGAAGAGAUGCAAAGGAAAUACCCUAACCUUUUCGUGAGUUAAGGUGAGAAAUUUCGAGGGCGAAAUUCUUUUAAGGGGGAGAGAGUGUGAGAACCCGUAAUUUUCUCAUUUUUUUUCUAGGGUUUUUCUCGUUAAUGGCAUGUUUUCUGCAUUUUCUUUAUUAGGAAAAUUUUCCUGACAAUUUUUAUGAGUAAAUAUAGUUUUUAGAUGAUUUUCCUAGUAUCGGUUAGGUUUUGAGAAAUUAAGAGCCUAUACAGGACGUGGGACCCGCUAGUGCGGAAAGUUCGGAAAAAUUCGGCCAACUAGGUUAAGUUUUGGAUACUGGGUUUAAAUUACCGGGUGUUAUGAGAUAAUUAGAGGUUGUUAUAUGGAUUGGUGUGAGAGGAAACAAAGAGAUAUGUAUGCAUUAAAUAGGGUGACAAGUGUCACCAUAUGGUUGGUUGUACUUUAUGACCACUAUUCAUUUUCUUACCAAUUGACCAAAUAAAUCAAAAAAUUACCAAAAAUUCACCAUUUUUCUCCUCAUCUUGGCCGCCCGCUUCAAGCAAAGAGAAAGGGAAAAGCUCUUCAAAUUCUUGCCUCCAUCUUGCUCAAAUUCAACUAAUCAACCAUUUGAUCUUGCAUUUGUUCCAUAAAACCUCUUCACUUAGUGUUCGUGAGGUGUUUGGCGAAGUUGUGUGAGAACCCGUAAAAAAAAACCCUAAUAUUUUCUUAGGGUUUAUUUUCCCUUAAUUGCAUGUUUUCUGCAUUUUCUGGCUUAGAAAUAUUUUCUUAGUGGAUUUUAUGAGCAAUUAUAGUUUUUAGAUGAUUUUUUUUAGCAUUGGAGAAAUUUUAGAAAAUUAAGAGUAAAUAGUGGACGUGGGACCCACUAGUGCGAAAAGUUCAGAAAAAUUCGGUCAAUAAGGUUAAGUUUCGGAUACUGUUUAAAAUUUAUCGGAUGUUAAGAGAUAAGUAGUGUGUGUGAAGUGAUUGAUGUGAGAGAGAAAAGAAUGAUAAGAAUGCAUUUAAUAGAGUGCCACAUGUCAUCUCCUCAUUGGAUGCCUUUUAAGAAACACUAUUCACCUUUUGACAUUUUUUUGACUUUUGACCACUUAAGUUAAUAUCUCCAAAAAUUCACAAAAAACCACCAUUCUUCACUUCUUGUUGGCCGGCCAUCCCAAGCUCCACAAGGAAAAAAGUUUGUGACGGCCCCACCUCCCCCUAAGGCGAACCAGAGGGUUCGGCGGGCCGCCUGCCCAGCUCUCGCCGGGACUCAGUCGUUCACUACAAUCCUCAAAUAUAUUACAAUAUAACUCUCAAAAUUACAUCAAAUUCUCCAAUAAUUACAUAUCACAAAUGCAGCGGAAACUAAUUCCAAUCGUGGGAUGUAUACUUACAUCCAUAUCAAUUUCAAAUAUUUAUACAAGACCAACUCGUACAUAAAAUAGAUCCAAACUUAAACUGUACACGAUAUAAGCCAUCCAGUCACGUGAAUAAGCACUCCAAGCUUUUCUUCGCCUUGAGCCCUGUGGGGGGGGAAUAAAACAUUUUUGGGGUGAGCUAAAAGCUCAGCGAGUAACCAAAUAAAACCAGUAAUCAAAUAUCUUUCACAAUAAUGCAUUUCGAUGAUGUCGUGAUGUCAUGAUUCAAGUAUCAAAUGCACGUAUUUUUGCUCUCGUGAGCCAGUGAAAUCAUUGAAACUUGAACACCCAACGCUCAAAUAGAGCAUAACACACGAACAGAGAGAGGAAGCCCCUUUUUGAGCUCCAGAUAACAUGAACAUGAACCACAAACAGAGUGGAGACGUUGGUGUCCAGCACAAGACUUUCACAGAACUUAUUGAAGCCAAAAUCAUAUCAUGAAUUCACAUGCAAGCACGCAUGAGAUGCAAUCGAGUAAAUAAUGCAAGAAACAUUUCAUAAGAAGCUUUAACAAUAGUUUGGGGUCACUCACCUCCACGGCUCAGAAACCAUCCAUCAUGUAUCAUUGCCUUGCUCAACUCCAAGCCUUAGAUCACAAACCCAAUGCAAACAAGUCCCUUCAAAGUUCGGACAGCACUUCCCCUACAUUUGCUAACUUUUCCAGCCAUCAUGGCUUCAUUAUUACUCCAGCCAGUCCCAAAGUCACACAAAUAAGUUCAUCUAAUAUCCAUUCAGCAAGCUCCAAGUAGUACAAAGACAAGUCAAGCUAGGGAAAAGUCCGGAAAUGAAGGUUAAGCUCACAACCAGAAAAACAGUUUUGACGUCAUAAUGCGGUAAUGGCACAACUCUCACUACAAUUAUCGGUUGGGGGUGUAAGACCCACCGUUUCGAAGCUAUGAAACAGGGAUACAACAAUGUAGAAGGUCACUCAAUCCAGUUCCUAGCUUAACUAGGUCGAAAAUGCCAAAUACAAUACCAGAAUUACCAAAACAGGUUUGCAAAUCACAUAAAACUGUAAUCGGUAUAUCUCAGUCCAUACAAGUCCAAAUGCCGAAAUUCCAAAGGAAUAAGUUAGCUAAGACAUCCAGCUACAUUUCAUCAGAAUACACCAACUCCAAAAUCCAAACCAAUUCCAGUCAAAAUGGCCAAUUACUAUCGCAGUUUUCGCAUUCUGAUCAAAGCAGAACAGCUACAGUAAUUUCGUCAUAACUCAUUCUACAUUAAUCCAAAUGACCUGAAAUUUUGCAGGCAUCUCAAUCAUAUCAAUACCUACAACUUUCAUGUUUUGAGUAAAGUCAAAUUCGGCCUCUAACCCUAUGAUACAAAACCGGACAGAAUUGGGGAUUUAAGAACCCUAACUUUUCAGUUUUCACACCAAAUCCAAAAUUGGUUGCAUUUAUCCACCUUUCACACCCACUAGAGUCAUUUUAGUCCAUUGCCAAUCAUCACCAACAACCACACCAUCAUAAUCCAAUUAAACCAGAAAAAUCAUCAUAAAAUGGAAAACUUCACCAAAACAAACCAAAUCAAGAAACAAAUCAUAUAUUCCUUCUCUCAUGCCCCCAUUAAGCACAAAAUAAGUAUCAUUAGAGGUAGUAAGGUGUUUCAAGCUUCACUUACCAAGAACCAAGAGAGAGGAGGAUGUGGGGCACCUUAAUCCUUCAAACAAAGUUCACCUCUACACUCACUAACACUAGAAGAUAGGAUUUUAUGGAGUGAAAUGGAUGGAAGCAAAUGUUUUUGGUUGAUUUGCACCAAGUAGAAGCUUGAAAAUUGAAGAAAUCUCCUUCCUUUCUUGCUCAAGGUGGCCGGCCAACAAGGAGAGAAAAAUGGUGAUUUUUUGGUGAAUUUUGGAUAUUUAAUCCCUUGGUCAAAUAAGUCAAGACAAUGAAUAGUAAUUCUUAAAAGUUCAACCGAUAAGAAAGUGACAUGUGUCACUCUAUUAAAUGCAUCCUUAUCAUUCUUUUCUCUCUCACAUCAAUCACUUCACACACCCUACUUAUCUCUUAAUACCCGAUAAACUUUUAACAGUAUCCGAAACUUAACCUUAUUGGCCGAAUUUUUCCGAACUUUUCGCACUAGUGGGUCCCACGUCCAAUAUUUAUUCUUAAUUUUCUAAAAACUCACCAAUGCUAGAAAAAUCAUCUUAAAACUAUAAUUGCUCAUAAAAUCCACCCAGAUAAUAUUUCUAAGCCAGAAAUGCAAAAAUUAAGCAAUUAAAGGAACUAAAACCCUAGGAAAAUAUUAGGGUUUUUACGGGUUCUCACACACUUUUUUUUCGGGGCGUCACAAAGUUCAUCAAAUUUCAAGCUUCCACUUGGUGCAAAUCAACCAAAAACAUUUGCUUCCAUCCAUUUCACUCCAUAAAAUACUAUCUUCUAGUGAUAGUAAGUUGUUUGGUGAACUUUGUUUGAAGGUUUAAGGUGUCCAACAUCCUCCUCUCUCUUGUUUCUUGGUAAGUGAUGCUUCAACCUCUCCCCUAUACCUAAUGAUGGUUAUAUUAUGCUUAAUGGUGGCAUGAGUGAAGGAUUAUAUGAUUUAUUUCUUGAUUUGAAGAGUUUUGGUGAAGUUUUUAUUUUAUUGGGAAUUUUUCUGGUUUAAUAUGAAAUGAAUGUUGUGGCCUUGUAUGAUGAAUGAUAAUGGUUGAUAAUGACUCUAUGAGGUGUAUUGGAUAGGAAAAUGCAAUCAAUUUUGGAUUUGGUGUGAAAAUUGAAAAGUUAGGGUUCAUAGAAUCCCAUUUCUGUCCGGUUUUAGAUCACUGGGUUAGAGGCCGAAUUGGACUUUGCUCAAAACAUGAAAGUUGUAGGUAUUAAUAUGUUUAAGGUGCCUGUAAAAUUUCAGGUCAUUUGGAUGAGUGUGGAGUGAGUUAUGCCGCUGUUCUGCAUUGAGCAGAAUGUGAAAACUGCGAUAGUAAUUGGCCUUUUUGACUGGAAUUGGUUUGGAUUUUGAAGUUGGUGUCUUCUGAUGAAAUGUAGCUUAAUGUCUUACCUAACAUAUGCCUUUGGAAUUUUGGCAUUUGGACUUGUAUGGACUGAGAUAUACCGAUUACAGUUUUCUGCGUUUUGCAAACCUGUUUUGGGAAUUCUGGUAUAGUAUUUCGUAUAUUCGACCUAGUUAAGCUAGGAACUGGAUUGAGUGACCUUCUACAUUGUUGUAGCCCUGUUCCAUAGCUUCGAAAUGGUGGGUCUUACACCCCCAACCGAUAUUCGUAGUGAGAGUUGUACCAUUACCGCAUUAUGACGUCAAAACCGGUUUUCUUAUCAAGGCUUAAGUUAAAGCCCUUUCUGAAUUCUGGUUUGCUAUUAUGCACAUUUAUGCAUAUGAAACCCUAUUGGGGUUGUAAUUGGCAUGGCUAUAUGGCUCGGUAUCGAGUCUCAUUGAAUGUGUUACAUGUUAUAGGACGUGACGGUAGCUCACGACGUCUUGGUGAUCACGGUGUAUGAAACACCACUUACUAGCUUGGUGAGUAUACUACUCACUUAUUUGUUAUAAUGUGGCUUUGUGCUAUGUGUAUUUGAUGCCUUGAAGGCUUAAUUGGUUAUUGGAAAUGAUUGAGGUGAGGGUGUACUUGACCGCCCUCACCCCUUGUGAUUUCAUUCAUGGUUAUUUACCGUUUUACUGAAAUACUGCAUUUGAUAUAUGAUAUACUGAAUUCCAUGCAUGGAAACUGAUUUGGUGUUGUUGGACGAGUAUCCAACGGCUUUACUGCAUUAUUGAGCUCAACCCCGUAUGGUAGUUAAUUGGAUCGAGCCGGCGAGGGCUUGGUCAUGAAAAUUAUCAUGCCACGGGGACUGUACUGGGGAACCUUGUGGUAAUGAGACCCUUGGUUCCGGUAUACUCGAGUAUUACCAAAAGCUACUGAAAUGGAGUGCGGGCCCGGUUGGGGUAUGUUGGGUGGAAGGAAUGGAAGUAAAGUGAGGUCUACGGUUUGAUACUUUUGACAUUGACGGAGGGUCAAUGAGGUUGGAUCAAGAUUGCAAGCGUGGAAAUGGGCUCUUGAGAGCCGACCGUAUCCUUUUACCAUUUUGCUUCAUUGCUUAUUUGUGCACUUUAAAUGAAGGUUCAUUCUUAUAUGACUUUGAUUGCUUAUUGGGUGGUAUACCACUGGGCUUUAGCUCAUUCCGUGUUAUUUGUUUUCCUUACAGGAAAAUGAACACUUUUGGAAAGGUUAUGAUAGUUGGAUGCAAGUUGAGCUCAUGUAUAUGUAUUUUGAAUUGCUCCUUGAGGAUGAAAACCUAAGUGCUUUGAUUCCACCAAUGUUUGGUGUGUAAAUGGCUACUUGUAUAUGUAUGAAUUAAAUAGAUCCUUUGGUAGGCCGUUUGGCUUGUAAAGGUUGGGUUUCAUUGUAUAUAUAUCUAUGGUUGAUGUUUGGAUGGAUUUCGGAUCACCACGACCUUCAAACGGAAAAAGGAAAAAUUGGAACGAAAAGGCACUGGACUGAAUCCGGCCAGGAAUCCGGCCAGAAACUGGCCGGAUUGCCGGCCGGAUUGCAGGCCGUUUUGGAAAAAUUUUGGAUUACUCUCUGGCCAGUAUCCGGCCAGAUUCCGGCCGGAUUCUGACGUGGCCUGCACUAUUCAUCUUCGGCAAAAUUUUUCGUUUUUUUUUAUUUUGUGAUUUUGACUUGUUUGCGCGCAAUGGUAUGUUCCGGAACGUAAUAGAUCGACGUAAACUGUACCGUUAGUCCUGGCGAGAGCUGGGCAGGCAGUCCGCUAACCCCUUUGGUUUGCCUUAGGGGAAGGUGGGGCUGUCACAGGUGGUAUCAGAGCCUAGGUUUGAAUUAGCCUGGGUGUUAUAGGAAUGCUUGAUCUGAGGGUUUAAUGUUUAUGGUUUUUAAGCUUAUUGAUUCUUAUUUUUACACUUUUGGUGUAGGAUGGACAGUUCCAGUGGACCUAGUGAUGGCCCUGCGGCCAAGCGACCCCGUGUAGCGCUCCCGAUGAUUAAGUACCAGAUCCGGCCAAAGGGGGCCGUUAUUCGUUGGAGCCCAUCUAACCGUCGUCGGCGGUGCGCGUGUAAAGAGAAGUAUGCUUACCCGAAUGCCCUCGUUUUGGCAGUUGUGAAGGAAAGAAAGGAGCUGGCAAAAGCUAAUGCCAAGCUUGAGAUUGAGGUGAAUCAGUUAAAGGCGGCCAACGAGGGGCAAGCCAAAAGGAUAGAGGAUCUGAAGUCCAAUGUACUAGAGGCGGAGGAUAGAGUCGAUGACCUCUGUGCCCAGCUGAGGGAGGCGCGUGAGCGCGAGUCUAAGAGGGCUCGGAAGGUGAGGACUCGAGCCGCUACAAUCCUAAACCUCUGUGCCGAGGUGGUGGAAGGAGUGAGCGAUAAGGACUCCUGUACGGGGUCUGAGGCUAGGGUUGGAUCCACUCCGUCGAGUGGGUCUCAUAACUCAUCUUCGGGCUAGAUUAUGACUCCUAGAGUUGUUAUAGAUAGUUUUGGUCUUGUGUAUAGGGUGGAUAGGGAUAGAGCCUUAGCUAACCGUUUUGGAUGUAGGGUUAGCUACGUGUAAAUCUCUUUUGAUAGGCCUAUCCUCAGGUGGAUCUUUUGUGUACGUACGUGCUUUGGCCGUACUUGACUGACUGCUUGUAUAUAUAUGUUUGGCUUGUAUCUAUGUGUGCUUGUGUCCCUGUGUGAAAUGUAUCAAUAUGUGUUAUGUGAAAGUUUAUGUGUUACUUACCUGCUUUAUUACUGCUUUGGUUUGGUGCUUUUGCCUAGACCGAGUGAAUUUAUGGAAGGAACACGAAGUGGUCGGGGACGCGGGCGCGGAACUAGACAAAUCGCACCGGUUAGGGAAACGGGUGAACCCUCUACUGGACCUAACCCUGGACCGCAAUUAGACCCCAAUGUGCAAAUCACUGCUGCUAUGCAGCAAAUGACCAACCUACUUGCACAAGUAGUGCAACAACAAGGCCAAAACCCAAACCCUAACCCUGGAAACCCUGGUAACCACGUUGAGAGCGAGGAUAGAGCUCUCGAACGUUUCCAAAAGUUUUCCCCGCCAAAGUUUAUUGGGGGACCCGACCCUGACGUCGCCGAGAAGUGGCUUGAGAAAAUGGUUGAUAUAUUCGCGGCCCUACACUACCCGAACGAACGGCAGGUCACUUUUGCCGUGUUUCAACUUGAAGGGGCUGCCCGUUCCUGGUGGAACGUAAUUAGACAGAAAUGGGAGCGAGAGCAGACACCGAGGACGUGGGUGAACUUCAUCCGGGAAUUUAAUGCCAAGUUUUUCCCUCCUCUAGUCCAGGAGAGGAAGGAGGACGAGUUUAUCCGGCUCCGGCAAGGGGCUCAGACGGUGGCGGAGUACGAGAGCCAGUUUACCCGCCUGUCCAAAUUCGCGCCUGAACUGAUCAUGACUGAGCAACGACGGGUGAGGCGCUUCAUUCAGGGUUUGAAUGUGGAGAUCCAGAAAGACCUCGCGGCGGCUCAAAUCACUACAUUUAGCGAGGCAAUGGAAAAGGCCCAACGGGUUGAGAGUGCACGGCUUCAGGUCCGAAACUUCCAGGCUAAAAAGCGUGGUUUUCCUGGGAGUACAUCUGGACAGGGUGAGAAGAGCACUCCCUCUAAGUUUGGACGAGGCAUGGGAGGUGGUCGACAAUUUGGAUCAGGCAGAGGGACUCCGUUCAGGGGCGGCCAAGCUGGGCGAGGACAAAGGGGAAACACCCAGAGUGGCUCGGCUUCGGCACCUCGUGGUCCCUGUGGAAAGACAAACCACACCGAGGACAAUUGCUGGAGGAAACUGGGGAAAUGUCUGCGGUGUGGAAGUGCGGACCAUCAGCUGGCUACAUGUCCGGUCCUGAAACAAGACGGAAAGGGGAGCCAACUACCGUCGAGGACCAAUACUGGACCAGCCAAGGGAGACGGAUCCAAGCCUAAAGUUCCAGCUAGGGUAUAUUCCUUAGAGCCUCACCAGAUCCCAGAGUCUUCCGAGGUGGUGGAAGGUACGAUCCCUAUUUUCCACCGCUUUGCCAAAGUUUUAAUUGAUCCUGGUGCCACUCAUUCGUUUGUUAACCCUGAUUUCAUGUGUGGCAUCGAUAUAAAACCUGCUAGUUUGCCAUAUGACCUAGAGGUCAGUACACCUACGGGGAAUCAACGUUUGGUGACUAGUAUGGUUUAUAAGGAUUGCGAUGUAUGGGUAGGUGAGAGGAGGUUUUUAGGGGACUUGAUUAGCUUAUCCAUUAAGGGGUACAACGUAAUUCUGGGUAUGGACUGGUUAGCCAAAUAUAACGCCCAACCGGACUGUAAAACGAAAAUAGUUGAAUUUCGCAUUCCUGGCGAGGCAACCUUAAGGUUAGAUAUAAGGGGUAGGUUAGCCUCAUCUGAGUGGGGCGCGACAGAUGUGAAAUUGUUAAAGUGCUUUGUAUAUGUUAAAUGGGUAAUUAGGCGAGGGUGUACUUUAUCUCACUCGACCUAAGCCCAUUCUUUGUUUGAUUUCAUAUGUAAGAAUACAUGCCUUGUGUUACGUAUCACCCCUUUGCUGAGUGCUGAUGGGGGUGAUUACAUGACUUGAAUUGAACCCCAUUUGCUAUGUACUGUUUGGGGUAAGUAUUUUGUUGACAGAUAUCAUCUAUUGAGAGAUUGAAUAUCUCAAGGCUUGGUUCUAGCCCUGUUCCAAGGGUAGACGAAUUAUUCGAUCCAGCUGGGGCUUGGUCGAAGUUAGCUCCAUGCUAACCUUGGGAUUUCGUUCUUUGUUAAAGCUUUGAUUAAAACUAAGUGAUUUUGUUUUGCUCAAGCUAAUGUGUGCUAUUGACUGGCCAGCGGGGGUUGAUAAGGUGAACGGGAAAAGUUAAGUGGAGUCUACGGGCCAUGAGUACUUUGGUUGACAGAGUGUCAAUAGGUGUUCAAACUCGGGGAAUUGAAUUGGCUUUGGAGCCACCCGUAUCCUACCAUUGUGAUGUUACAUUUCUGUAAUUAAGUGAAAUAUUUGGAAUUAUAUGCUUAUCUGAAUGUGCUUUUACAUUUUCACCCCAAUUAUUCACUAAGCAUAUAACUUACCUCGUUCCAUUUGUUUUUCUUAGCUGGGGGCCGACGCGGGGAUCGCUCAGGAAGGUGUAUAGACUUUUGGUUAUAGAAUAGUUUACUUUAUACCUAUUACAAGUUGACGAGUAAGAUGUAUAUAGUUGUCGUGGUAGUUGUAGUUAUCAGCUUUUCUAGGGUUUACUUUCUGGUACUCAUGAUAUGUAAUUCUUGGAGAAAGGGUUUACUUUCUGGUACUCAUGAUAUGUAAUUCUUGGAGAAUUGGAUGUAAUAUUUGAGAUUUAUCUUGUAAUUCAUUUGAGGACUGUAGUGAGUGAGUGAGUCCCGGCGAGAGUUGGGCAGGCGACCCGCUGAACCUUGGGGGAUGCCCUAGGGAGAGGUGUGGUCGUCACAGGUGGUAUCAGAGCUUAGGUUUCAGAUCUCUGUAGUAUAUUGUAGGCUUAAAGUUUAGGAUGCCGGACUGUGGGAUUGGUUUGUAAGUUAAGUGCUCUUUUGGAGCGUAAGUUGUGAAUCUUGAAAGUGAUACGCAUAAGAUAUGUGUAACGCCCCCACUUCUCCCUAAGGCGAACCAAAGGGUAUCCGCGGGACGCCUGCCCAGCUCUCGCCAGGACUCACUACAAUCCAUCAUUCAAAAGCUCGAAAUACUUUAAGUAACUUCAAUACAUAAUUAAAGUACUCCAAAUAUCUCACACUUACAAUUAUGCAGCUUCCAAGCUUAAAUACAACCCAACGGAAAAGGGUACAAUAGCCAUCCGUUAUAAUAUAACUUAAAGUUUUCAAAAGAAAACAAUCUAGUACUACUCACGAGCACCCUUGGUCUCGAACCCUGUAAAAGAAAACCACAACGUGGGAUGAGCUACACAGCCCAGUGAGGUUCCAAUACACUCUAACAGUUCAAAUAAAUCAAGUAAGUUUGGCAUAUCAUAUGCAUGGUUCAAUGUUACUCAAUGGCGUGUUAUCAUGAGGUGAUAAUCAUUGUACGAGUAAUUUGAGACAUUUAUCAUGGUAUGAGACAUUUAUCAUGAGACAGGUAUCAUGAUAUAAGUACAUUGGUCAGGUAACAGGUAUGGAGCAUAUCACAGGCAUAGUUCAGGAUUUCAUGUUGACAUUUUAGCAUGAAACAAUUAUCAUGAUACAAGGUAAACAUAUACGGUAGGAUACGGUGUUCCAGUGGAACUCUGUCGGUCAUCUGCACCUUAUGACUUCUGAUCCCCACGGUACGGUCUGGCCAUCGCCUUAUCCCUCCAGUGGUAAUACUCGAGUAUACCGAAACGGUGGCCCAGGGUUCCAACCUACCCGACCGAGCCCAGUCCUGGCUCGAGUAGGUCAGUAACCAAGGGCAGGGCCCAAGUUCAGCUUAGAGCUUACAACAUGCACAGGUAACCAAGUAAUUCGACAAAAGGUAAAAUUCAUCAUUUGAGUAGGUCGAGUGAGGUAAAGUACACACUCGCCUAAUAAUGAUGGACAGCUUCAUAUAACAUGUGAUUCAUGAUAAUCAAGUAAUCAGGUGGUCAAGUAACCAAGUAAGUUGGUGAUCACGUAAGCAGAUAACCAAGUAAGCAAGUAACCAAAUAGAUUAGAAAACGGUAAGUAAACACGGUUAACGGUAAACGGUAAACGGUUAACGGUAGUAAUUACAGUUAAUUGGUAGACAUAUGUCAUUUCAAUAGGCCGCCAUUGGCCGUUUUUCACUUUCACCACGUAAGAGUCGAGGAGAUUUACUCCAACCGACUUAUGCUUCCAUAGCAUAAUUAAUCAUUUAAACACAUCAUGUAAAUAUGCUCUCCAAACAUUUCAUAUCUAGUAUUUCAAGUAAUCACAUAAGUAUGCUCUUUAAGCAUUUCAUAUCGAAUAGUUCAAAUAUACCUACUUCAGGUGUUUCAUGUCGAGUAAUUCAAGUAUACAUUAUUCCAAUUACGUAUUCCUAUAUGGAACACUCACCUAGUCAAAACAAGCGAGUAGUUCUUAAACAAGCGUCUUAGGUGUCCGCUCCGAGUUCCUCUGGGAGAUUCCCUCGAGUGCCUGAGCAAACAAUAAUCAACUACCACUCAAAAUCAUUCUAAUUAUCGAGGAAAAUUGUACACUAGUACAAUCUAAGAAAUUAACGCAGAGACGAGUCUAAGAGUUCGUGUAACUCGAGGUUCAAAAGUGGGUUUUAAAAUACAAGACAAAUCUGAUUUCCAUCUUUGAAAUCAAAUGUAAAACGAUCAAAUGAUAUUGAAGGAAAAUGGAGGGUUUGAAACCCUUAGUUUCCUUUAAGUUAGAAAAUUCCAGAUUUAACAAGCAAUAUUUGAAAAAUCAUAUUUCACUCUCCACAAGUCCAAAAUUGGAAAACUUGGUACUGUUGGAAUCCUCUUUCAAAGUACUAAAAGUUCUUAGAAGACACUUUUCCACGAAUGUAAGUGAAAGGCACUCAAAUUUUGGCUCAAAGUUGGUAACUUGAAUUACCAAGACAGAUUUAAGUUGGUUUUUGGCCAACUUUAGAAAUUCGGCAAAAUUCACUUGUUUUGAACUAACCUUUGAAAUUUGGAAAUCAAUUAGUGUUGCAAUCCAAGAGUAUAACAAAACAAGCGGAACGAGAAACGGAGUUUCGAGCACCAAGAUAUAGUACCUCCAAGUUGCUGAAAAAGUUAAGACUGUUGGGCUAUUUUCCAGGUUUAAAACUAGAUUCGAAAUAUCAUUUGGUCAUCAAGUUGGCAUUAGAAAUACAUCAAACUUGGUACACUAAAUCUUCCAUGUGUGAACAACAUUUCUACUAAGUUUCGUACAAAAACUCUCACGGUAAGGUAGUCAUUAAAACAACCAAAGUUUAUGAAGAGUUUCAGGCUAAACUACCUUCUCACUUUUCUUUCGUUUACAAACUUUUUGUACCAUGAAAUCAGUUCCAAAUCUCUCCAUUAUUGAAACCAAGAGUUCAUAAACAUCCACUGAGCAAUUUAAAGACCAUUGACAUCCAAAUUCUAGAAAUAAAACUCUCCAAAUCAGAUUUGACCAUUUGGCUAAGAGAAAACGAAAAGUUUUCCAGAUUCGAUGAGCGAAUUUUGUGACAUCAUUUGCAUAUCAAAAUGGUCUUAGAAUAUUACCAAAUUUUGUACAAUUAAACCUCCAUAUGAGGAUUACUCUUCUAUCAAAUUUCAUUUGAAAAUUCACACGGGAAGGUAGUUAACUAAACCAUCAAAGUUCAGGAAAUUUCCCAAGGUAAAACUGUCUUCUAGCUCUUCUUUCCUUUUUAAACAUUUUGUCCAAAGCAACCAACCCAAAUCUGGUUUAUUUGUGAAACAAAGUCCAAGGAACAUCUAAUCUAAAGUUUGGUAGAUGUCGGACAUCAAAGUUUCCAAAACAACAAGUCCCAAAUCAUUGUUAGUUACAAAUCUGUCCAAGUGGAAAAUUCUAUCACUGUAGCAGUUUCAAACUUUGGCCACAACUCACUCCAUUCAACUUGGAAUUGGGCGUGGUUGAUGGCGUUGGAAAGCUCUCUUCUAAAGCUGAAUUUUCUCAGAAGAAACCAUUUUCAAAUUCCAUUCACAAAUAGCUCGUUUUUGAGCAUCAAGAAGCAAUUUCUGUCCUGUCUCCUGGAGAGCAACGAAACAGGACAGUGAUAUUCAAUCGAAUGGUGUGGCUCACUCAAGUGGAACCAGAAUGUGAAAUUGGUACCGAUGGAAAGCUAGGAAUGUCUAGUUUCCAAUGCCGCAAACGGCACUUGAUUUCGACAUCGGAACAAAGAGUUAUGGCCGUUACAAAAUGACUGCCUGGGCAAUACGGGAUUCAUUUUCCAGUUUUGCUAACUUUGGAAAUCAACUCAUUUGACCAACCAAAUCAUGUUAUUUUUCAAUGAAAUUUUGUACACACUUACAAUAAUAGAUAAACAACAUAAUCAAUUCAUUAGAAUCUCAAAAUCUGGCACGAAAACGGUCGGACAAGGCAGGGGUAAAACGGUCACUUUUGCUCCAAGCACCUCCUUUGAUUUUCUACCAACAAUACAACAUUAAUCUACUAAUAUAAGCACUAAACCACCAUUAAUUUCAUCAUCCAACAUCAAAUCAGCAACAACCCAAGAGUGGGAGUUCAUAGAGCCCACUUUCACAUUUUAUACCAUAAACAAGACUACCCACAUGAUUAUAUAACCUUAUAUGUGCAAUAAAUCUUACAAAAACUAAGAUCUAUGGGUUGGAUGAUUUGCUACCUUCUUGGAUGAUUAGAUCAGAAAUUUUGGUCACUCUUUGCUCCAGAAAACCGUGGCUUUUCAGCUCCCUUUUGCAGCUCAAAAUACUCCUCAAGUGUUAAGCUAAGUGUAGUUCGAAUUUGGAGUGAAUUGGAAGAGGUUUGGUGAAGAUUUGAUGGAGGAAUUGGAAGAACUCUUGAGCUGUUUUUCUUGCUUUGUUGUUCGGCCAGAUGAGGGAGCAAGAGAGAGAAAUUGUGGUCUGAAAUGAGGCUUCCAAAGGAAGCUUAAUGACUAAGGAUUGGGUGCACAAAAGUCAACCGCAAAAAGUGCGCGCACGCGCGCGUUUUGUGCUCGAUUCCUCUCGCGUUUGUUUCACUAGUGUACUAAACUUCUAAUGCAUUUAUAUUCAUAUAAAUAUUAUUCACUCUUAAUUGUCCUCAAAAUAAGGGUCUAAAGUUCCUCAAUUUAAAUUGCGCGUGUGAAAACGCGUAUCUCCAAUUUAAGCGCAAUAACGCGAAACUUCCGAGAAAUUCUUAUAACGAUAGUACUAAUAACUAUCACUUGAGUAUUUAAACAUUAAAAUGCCUAAUUUAGGUCCAUUGUACAUGUCUCCAAUAUUUCAAACCUAUUGUACUCUCAAUCGAUCAAGAUUUCCAAAGACGUGUUCACUAUUUUUACAAAACGAGCUUCCGAAAAUUAAUUUUUGAAACAAGUCAUUUUAAAAAUAUAAUGAAACUAUAUUUCCAUGUAAUUAGGUCUCAAGAGCUUAGAAAAUAAUAUUCGGAGUAAAAGACCAAAUAAAUAAUUAAAUAAGCUAGAAAUAGGAGAUUAAAUAAGUAAAUUUUGCGAGUCCUCACAACCUCCCCUCCUUAAAAGAAUUUCGUCCUCGAAAUUCAUACCUUCUGUAAUCUCAGACAACUCUGAACCGUGUGGGUGUUCAUGUCAUGCGUUCUUUCAGAUGCCAUUGGUCGGUUUCUCCUUCCAUUGACUUGUCGAGGAACAGUUCCAUUUCCUUGUUGAGCAGUAGUUUCUCGUGGAUACCUCCUUGGACAGUCAUGAACUUUAUGAUUGGUACUCCCACAUCCCAUACACUUUCGUCCCUUUAGCCAACAGUUUUCUUCAGUGUGAUUCGUCCUUCCACAAUAUCCACAAGUCGGACGAGGUGUUGUGACCUGACUUGCUUGCGAGGUUUUCUUUGAUCGUGUUUGUCCUACUGAAGUCCCUCGUGACAUAGUUCCUUUUGGUUCCUUUAUCAUGAGUGGUGCAGGAAGUAACAGUCCUACUUCAUCCACUUCUUUUCUAACUUUGGAUGGUGGUCCAUUUUUUCCUAGUGUACUGUCAGAUGUAUCUCUUUUCCUUUUUUGAAAAGCUCUCAGUUGAGAUUUUGUGCUUUCUACUCUUUGCGCUUUUUCAAGAGCGUCACUAAAUGUUUCAACCUGUGCUGCGGCAAGGGCAUCUUGGAUUUCCAAAUCUAAUCCUUGGAUAAACCGUCUUAUUCUCUUCCGUUCAGUAGCCACCAAUUCUGGGGCAUAUGUAGAUAACUUCGUAAAGCGUGUUUCAUACUCAGCUACGCUUAAAGUUCCUUGACGAAGCUUUAUAAAAUCAUCUUCUCUCUUUUCUUGGACAAGUGGAGGAAGAAAUUUCUCAUUAAAUUCACGCACGAAGUUUAUCCAAAUUCUCGGAGUUUGAUCUCUUUCCCACUUAUUUCUUAUAACAUUCCACCAUGCUCGGGCUGCUCCUUCAAGUUGAAAUACAGCAAAUGUGACUUGUCUCUCCUCUGUGUAAUCCAAGGCAUCGAAUAUAUUUCUUAUAUUUUCUAACCAAUUCUCAGCCACCUCUGGAUCAGGCCCUCCAGCAAACUUGGGCGGAGAGAAUUUCUGAAACCGCUCUAAAGCUCGAUCCUCCCCUAUCUCUUGGUUUCCACGUUGGUUUCCUUGUCCAACACCUUGACCUUGUUGAGCUACCAAGAGCUCUAGGAUAUCCGUCAUGCGAGUUAAAACUUGUCCUAUCUGGUCAUUUCCUCUCCCAGCACUUAGCUCAACGUUUUGAUCGAUAUCGGACCCAUUAGCUACUCUUUCAUUUCGGGGUUGUCUAGGUUGACGUCCCUUUCGUUGUCCUCUAGUUUCCAUGUCCACAACUAAUCUAUACGCACAUGCAUAACCCUCACACUUAGUUAAAAUUGAACUACACUCAUAUACCAGUAGCAACAUUUAAAGAGGAUGAAGACACUUUCACAAAUAACAUUAUCACUAUGCAAGUAAACACAAACUAGAGUUCAUUAAAUCAUAACACAAAUUAUGGCCAAGUAAAGUUCAUGCCAAGUCAAAGUCAAUAACAAAAAUAAACAAGUGAUUAUCACAAGUACAUUCAUCUCCAAGGCGCAAACUCUUAAGUUCUACUCCCAUCGUCUCACUAUGAAAGAUCACCAGUAGAGAUUCACUAGAUUAAUUGGAACUAGACGAUUCUCGUUCCCUAACAUGCUCGAUUUCAAUCCCAACACAAGGAUCUUUUGGGUUACGAUAUUUUCCAUCUUCCACUCUUAAUUAUUGUACCAUCUUAACCAAACAAUUAUUGGUUUCCUGUAACCAUUCACAUGAAAUAUCGAUUCAUUCUUAUUCCCCACAAAUGGAGAUAUAAAGUCCCUAUGGUUGCUUUCCACUCCCAAGUACUCGGGUUCAAGAAUCCAAAAUAGGAUAAUUCACAUCUCGAGCCGGCCGGUCCCAAGAGUAAAUCACCACAUUCGAGAUUCCUACCCAACAUACAUAUCAAAUUCCCUCCAAUUAUCAAGAUAAAGGUUUUACAACCUAUAACAUUCAUGAUUCACAACUUACAUUUCUAGAAGGGCACUUAAGUCUUUACUUAAUCACAUAGUAAGGACCAAACACCACUUGGCCCUAUCUUGCUCCUUUGUAGAGACCACGUGAAGUGGCUCUAAAUUUCAUCACUACAAGCAAUCAUUUAACUUUCAGAAUAGUCCCACAGUCCGGCAUCCUAAACAUUUAAGCCUAGGAUACACUACAAAAUCUGAAGCCUAAGCUCUGAUACCAAUUGUAACGCCCCCACUUCUCCCUAAGGCGAACCAAAGGGUAUCCGCGGGACGCCUGCCCAGCUCUCGCCAGGACUCACUACAAUCCAUCAUUCAAAAGCUCGAAAUACUUUAAGUAACUUCAAUACAUAAUUAAAGUACUCCAAAUAUCUCACACUUACAAUUAUGCAGCUUCCAAGCUUAAAUACAACCCAACGGAAAAGGGUACAAUAGCCAUCCGUUAUAAUAUAACUUAAAGUUUUCAAAAGAAAACAAUCUAGUACUACUCACGAGCACCCUUGGUCUCGAACCCUGUAAAAGAAAACCACAACGUGGGAUGAGCUACACAGCCCAGUGAGGUUCCAAUACACUCUAACAGUUCAAAUAAAUCAAGUAAGUUGGCAUAUCAUAUGCAUGGUUCAAUGUUACACAAUGGCGUGUUAUCAUGAGGUGAUAAUCAUUGUACGAGUAAUUUGAGACAUUUAUCAUGGUAUGAGACAUUUAUCAUGAGACAGGUAUCAUGAUAUAAGUACAUUGGUCAGGUAACAGGUAUGGAGCAUAUCACAGGCAUAGUUCAGGAUUUCAUGUUGACAUUUUAGCAUGAAACAAUUAUCAUGAUACAAGGUAAACAUAUACGGUAGGAUACGGUGUUCCAGUGGAACUCUGUCGGUCAUCUGCACCUUAUGACUUCUGAUCCCCACGGUACGGUCUGGCCAUCGCCUUAUCCCUCCAGUGGUAAUACUCGAGUAUACCGAAACGGUGGCCCAGGGUUCCAACCUACCCGACCGAGCCCAGUCCUGGCUCGAGUAGGUCAGUAACCAAGGGCAGGGCCCAAGUUCAGCUUAGAGCUUACAACAUGCACAGGUAACCAAGUAAUUCGACAAAAGGUAAAAUUCAUCAUUUGAGUAGGUCGAGUGAGGUAAAGUACACACUCGCCUAAUAAUGAUGGACAGCUUCAUAUAACAUGUGAUUCAUGAUAAUCAAGUAAUCAGGUGGUCAAGUAACCAAGUAAGUUGGUGAUCACGUAAGCAGAUAACCAAGUAAGCAAGUAACCAAAUAGAUUAGAAAACGGUAAGUAAACACGGUUAACGGUAAACGGUAAACGGUUAACGGUAGUAAUUACGGUUAAUUGGUAGACAUAUGUCAUUUCAAUAGGCCGCCAUUGGCCGUUUUUCACUUUCACCACGUAAGAGUCGAGGAGAUUUACUCCAACCGACUUAUGCUUCCAUAGCAUAAUUAAUCAUUUAAACACAUCAUGUAAAUAUGCUCUCCAAACAUUUCAUAUCUAGUAUUUCAAGUAAUCACAUAAGUAUGCUCUUUAAGCAUUUCAUAUCGAAUAGUUCAAAUAUACCUACUUCAGGUGUUUCAUGUCAAGUAAUUCAAGUAUACAUUAUUCCAAUUACGUAUUCCUAUAUGGAACACUCACCUAGUCAAAACAAGCGAGUAGUUCUUAAACAAGCGUCUUAGGUGUCCGCUCCGAGUUCCUCUGGGAGAUUCCCUCGAGUGCCUGAGCAAACAAUAAUCAACUACCACUCAAAAUCAUUCUAAUUAUCGAGGAAAAUUGUACACUAGUACAAUCUAAGAAAUUAACGCAGAGACGAGUCUAAGAGUUCGUGUAACUCGAGGUUCAAAAGUGGGUUUUAAAAUACAAGACAAAUCUGAUUUCCAUCUUUGAAAUCAAAUGUAAAACGAUCAAAUGAUAUUGAAGGAAAAUGGAGGGUUUGAAACCCUUAGUUUCCUUUAAGUUAGAAAAUUCCAGAUUUAACAAGCAAUAUUUGAAAAAUCAUAUUUCACUCUCCACAAGUCCAAAAUUGGAAAACUUGGUACUGUUGGAAUCCUCUUUCAAAGUACUAAAAGUUCUUAGAAGACACUUUUCCACGAAUGUAAGUGAAAGGCACUCAAAUUUUGGCUCAAAGUUGGUAACUUGAAUUACCAAGACAGAUUUAAGUUGGUUUUUGGCCAACUUUAGAAAUUCGGCAAAAUUCACUUGUUUUGAACUAACCUUUGAAAUUUGGAAAUCAAUUAGUGUUGCAAUCCAAGAGUAUAACAAAACAAGCGGAACGAGAAACGGAGUUUCGAGCACCAAGAUAUAGUACCUCCAAGUUGCUGAAAAAGUUAAGACUGUUGGGCUAUUUUCCAGGUUUAAAACUAGAUUCGAAAUAUCAUUU
rnacentral:lncRNA from 1 species